GAACUUAGCAGUAGUCUGGGCAAGGACUAGCGGCUAAUCAGUUGCGAGCUGGAUACCUCUGAAGCAGUUGACUGUCCACCGGAUCUAGGCGCAGAAGUCUUUAAUGUGAAACACUCAAGUCCUAGCAGUAAAGCUUCUAAAAUAACAUUCAUGUGGAAGUAUGACGCGUCCCAUCCGAGGUGAUAGCAACAGAGGUAUGAUGUGUCCCAACUCCCAACAGAGGUUUAUACUGUAGUCGAAAUACCAUUUCUCCAUGGUGAUAGCAAUUGAUGUAAGAAUAAUAGCCUGAAAUAAAAGUUUGAUCAAAAGUUGCUCAUUAAUAAUUUUUGAUCAAUCGUUGACGACUUGCACUCAAAACUUUGGCUUAGAAUUUCUAGGAUUUGAACUUCAUUUUUCAUCUUGUUUUGAUGUUUCAUCUUUAACUUGUUUAUUUAAGUUUUCUGGGUUGGUACAUCACUUUUCAUAUCUUUCUUUUGAUGUUUCAUAUUUGACUUGUAUAUUUAGACAUAAGUAGAGGUAGCAAUUUCCAUCCAUAUCCAUCUCACUUAAAUGGUUUUGGAUUACUAAAAAAAUUUAGAUGGACAUUAAUGGACAUCCAAAUAAAACCAAUUGGUUUGAUGGUUUUAAGUGGAUAAUCCACGCAAUCUAUCUAAAUCCAUUUAAGAAGGCAACGAGCAAACCCAGCAUGUUUUGGUAGUACUACUGUUUCUUAUGAUGCUGAGUAAAUACUCCAAGUCCAAAGACGCUAUUCAGCUCUUCCAACUCAUGCGGUCAAAGGUUUCUUCUCAAUCCGCGUAUUCCAAAUUUUUACAUGCUUUAUUUAUUUUCUUUUUCCAUUUUUUCUGUUUUUAUUCUUCUUGGUUAUCAAAACUCAUCCUAUUAAUUAACUUAGGAGUGUCAUUUUAAGUUGCGUGUUAGUUAAAGAAAUUAGCUGUGUUAGUUAAAUGAAUUUUAAAUGGAAAAUUGGAUAUCCAUCAUCCAUUUGGAUCCAAUCCAUAUACAGCCAUUUAUUAUAUGGAUUCAAACAGAUUGGACCAUUUAAUCCAUGAUCUAUUUUUAUGAAACCAAUUAUGAUCCAUAUAUCCAUUUUGCCACUUCUAAAUAUAAGCACUUACAAUUCUUCAUUUCAAAGUUGUAUGUGUUGGUAUUGAUGGCUGAAAAGAAAUAGUUUAACAUUUGGGGAUCAGCAGCAAUAAGGCAUGCUUUGCUCCAUAAGUACAUUUACUUGUCAUAUAUUUUGUCCAUCCUAACAGUUAUUGUGCUACGGACCUUUACAAUCAGCUCUAAGUUGGCGCCUAAUGAUACACAAGUUGUGGCUUGGGCUAUAAUUCAUUUAGGUUUUGUCUAGACCUUAGAUGAGGCACCACUCUAAAUUUUGCUUUGUACCUCACCAACUUUAGCCAUUGGCUCCAAUUCCAUGAUCCCUAAUUGCCCCUAAUUAGGUUACUUUUAGGUUGGAUGUCUGCGACAUGUAAAUCGUUUUGCAUUUGCUGCUUAUGUCUGUCUAAGGAUAUUUUGACAUAUCAUACAAGAAUUUUACUACUGUCACUAUCAGGAUGGAAAUUUAAGGAGCGGAGCCAUGCAAUAAUGUUUGUUCCAGAGGCCAGUGCCUUAUUAUUCUUUUGCUUUACUUGCAUAUUAUGAAUUAUCAUACAUGCAUGUCUAGUUGCCUAUAAAGCAAGUCCAUUUCUCAUUGCUUUCCUCUUGUGCAUUCUGUCAAAUUAGCAAGGGAAUGUCAACACGACAAUGCAUAGUAUAUUAGUAUUUAGUGUCGAUGUGUGUUUAUUUCAAAGAAAGGUUUAAAAUUAUGAAAGAUUUGUGAUAACUAAUUUUAUGCAAAUGAUAAUUGUACUAAUUUUUGAUAUACUGAUAAAUUGUACACUAGUGAAUCUCAUGUAUACAUUAAUUAACCUACCACAUGUACUGUUGAUGUAAUAGAGAUUAACCAUCAAAGUUCUUACAACAAAAAUAAUAAUUAAGUAUAAGUUUAGAACUUUCGAAUGUACGCAAUAGGUAACGUUGAUCUCAUCAAUCCUUGGAACAAAUUUCUAACGAUCACUGAAGGGAAGAAAUAUGUGGAUUCUAUCUCCCUUGUAUAAGCAAUUGCGACUUACCAAGUUAUUGAUUCUUUUCUGCAACAUUUUCAUGCAUGUUCCAUCGACACAAAAAGUAAUUGUUGAUUUGAUAAUCACUAUAGCUUAAGAGACCGAACAAGAAUGUAACAGACACUGUCUUUGGCCUACAUCACAAUAUCCGUUUCUCAAGGAUUACACUAUAUAUUUUGAUCUCUAUUUAGAUUAUUCAAAACAAGACCGCAAUCCAUAGCUACUACCAAUAGGUGAAAGUUCUGGAACAACCAUAACCAUAUAGUUUUCAGUUUGGGAGUCAUUUUCUUGUGUUGUGAUGAGAUGUUUUAUGGAUUCUUGAUCAUUUUGGAACCAUUCUCAUCAUUUUAUCUGGGUGGCAACUUGCAUGGAGAGUAAUGGUGGUUAUAAUUAAUUCACAACCAGGCUAUUGUGAACUUGUAUCCCUUUCUAUCGACUUGUUUUCCAGUUGAUUUCCCUUUUGCUAUCAAAUGCUAUUGAUUUUCAGUGGAUAUUCAACAUGCAGGGGUAGACAAGCCUGGCUAAAUCGGGUCUUGGUUCACAAAAUAUUGGCCACUUUUACGUAAUUAAAGGUCAGAAAAUUAGUCAAAAAAAGUUCAAGAUUUUAAGCCAUUGUGUCAGUUCAAACACAAGGAGGUGGGUAGGCAUGUUAAUGGAUAGAAUUUGAAUUGGAUCCCUUUGAUCUAAAUCCAAACCUAUUAAAUUUAGUUACACCCAAACCUAGAUUUUGAAACCCUUAUGGGUUUGAAAAAUAAAUCCGAACCCAGAUCCUCGUGAGUUUAGGUAUCUAAUGGGUAUUCAUAGGUAUUUUUCUAAACAUACAGUGAAGAAUUAAAGUAAAAAUAUUUUAAAAUAUAUAGAGUUCAAAAAUAACAUAAGUGUCAUCUAAUUUUGUUUUCAAAUAAUAAAAUUAACAUUCAAGAAAUCGAAAUGAAAUAGAGAGGAAGACAGAGGCAACGGAGGCGAGCAAUAGAUAGGUGAGAUUAGAUGGUUUUUUCUUAGAUUAAGAGCAUAUUAUUUAAUCUAAUAGUCAUGAAGUAUUACUAUAUUCGAUCCAAUAGUCAUAGGAUAUUAGAUUAUUUUAUAAAUAUAUAUAUAUAUAUAUAUAUAUAUAUAUAUAGGGUUAAAAACAAAAAAGUCUCCUGUGGUAUAUCUAAUACAUAGAAAAACUUCCUGUGGUUUCAGAACAUACAAAACGACACCUUAUAUUUUGAACUAAAUUGUAAACUAACAAAAUUCAUUAAACUUAAUGAAAAUGACGGUUUCGGCCGUUAAACUUACCGGAUUCCGUUAAGUUUACUGUUAAAUUUACCGGAUUCUAUUAAGUUUUCCGUUAAAUUUACCGGAUUCUGUUAAGUUUAACGAAUUCUGUUAGUUUAUAAUUUAGUUCAAAACAUGAGACGUCAUUUUGUAUGUUUUGAAACCACGGAGGACUUUUCUGUGUAUUAGGUAUACUGCAGAGGUUAUUUUUGUUUUUAACACACAUAUAUAUGUGUGUGUGUGUGCGCCUCUAGAUAAGGUCUGAUUUGGAUUUGGAUCACAGAAUAUUAGACCGAAUCCAAAUCCAAAACUUUCUUACCUACAGAUAGAAUUUGACUCCGAGUGAAAUCUAAGUUUGAGAAAUUAAACCCAGAUCCUAUACAAAAUACAUUGGAUCUGGGUAAGAUUCGAUCGAUUGACAUAUUUAGAGGUAAGUAUGAAUUAAGUUAAUUUCGAGUUGCGAAUGCCUUUUGAUCCUAUUUUAUUUUGGAGUUGUAUCGAUUAAUGCUGAGUGCCUGAUUGCCUAGAAAUUGAAUUUGAAGGCUGGAACUGGACCAAAUGAUGGACUACGAUGCAUACCCACUUCAUUUAUGAACAGUUCCUUCUUGAUCUUAGUCGUGAUUCCAUCCGCCAAUUCCUUCAUAACUUAAAUGAAAGAUUUGAGAAUCCACCAGAGCCACCAAGACCUUUAUUAGGGACGGAUGUCACGGGCGUGAUUAUUUCUACAUUUGUAGCUAUUCAAUUUUAAAUGGGACUUGGGUUUCUUGUAGACUGUAGUUUGACCUAUGGAUUUCAAACCUUUACCCAAUGUUUUUAGAAUCGGACCGGACCGGCCGGUUCGACCGUGAAUCGAUAGCAUCAACGGUCCGGUCCAGCAUCACACCCAGAAACUAAUGGAAAAUCACUAGGAACCGUAUGAACCGGACGAACCAUUAAAAACCGUAAACCGGCGGUUCAUAAAUUUUCAAGCAAUAAACCUGAAAUUGAAAACAAUAACAAGAAUAGAGGCGGCAAAGAUUCGAACUCGGGCCUUCAGGAUCACAAUAGGCAUGCUUACCACUAAUCCACAACCAAGGGACAAGCUUUUGUUGUGUAGAAUUUUACAUAAUCUAAUCAAAAAAAAAAUCAGAUUAAAUAAAAAAAAACCCUAGCAUUGAUUAAGAAAAGACAUAGCGCACAGACGGCACCAUUUCUCAUUUUCUCCUAGGCUUCACUUCAGUUCCUCCAUUCCUGAUUCCUCGGCUUCUCCAAUCUCCAGUUAAUCUAUUGAUUUUUUUUUCUUCAUCAUCCUUUCACAUCCAAAUAUCCAUGACAAGAUCAUCACACUAUUAUUUUUAGACGGGACUCCAAAGCUUUGCAUCUUGGUAAGUUUAAUUUUUGCCUUUUCUUGAUUUUUGUUUUCUAUAUUAUCUUUAGUGGAUUUUUUCGUAUUUUCUUCUUUUUUCCCCCAAAUUUUCAUCCGUUUAUGAAUCAUAAAUUAUUUGGCAGUCAUGUUUGGAGAAGUUAUUUUUUGGAUAAAGUAUCAAAUUAAUAAAAUUAGUCAUGUUUGGUUUUUUAAUUUUGUAUUUUUCUGCAAUUAAUAUUUGGAAUGCCCUUUUUUUGUUCCAUUGAUAUUGUUUGUGACGAUAACCGUAUGCAACUAAUUUAUGAUUUAUGAUUAUAGUAUGCAAUCGUAUGCCCUUUUUUUAUUCAACUAAUUUCUGUGACGAUAAACUAAUUUCUGCUCAAAUGUUCAAAGUUCAUACGGCUUUUUUUAAUUAAUCAAUAUUAUUUCAACUUGAAGUUUGUCUAAUUAAAGAAGUGCAGGGAUUUCUUCUGUCUGUAGGACCUCUGGGUUUGACAAUCACAGGGACUUUGAUAGUACUUUGUUAUUGUGCCGCCUUAAUGUAUUUGUUCAUUUUUUCAACAUGUAUGUCUUUUGUGGAGAUAUCAGAUAUGCAGUAUACUUCAGUUAUAGGAGAUUUUUUUAAUUUUUUUUAUAGAUUUCAUCUCGUAUAUUUUUAUGGCUUGAUCAUUGGUGUUAUGACUGGGUAUAUUUUUAUGGCUUGUUCAAUUUACCUAGACAAUAACACACACGCAUAUAUAUUCUUUAAAUCCAUCCAGGCUACAAAAAAUUACAAAAUAAAUUGCUUUUUAUUUGUUAAAAGCAACUAGGAUCAUAAAAAAUUAUAUCUCUUUCAUUCAAAGUUCAGGAGAUUUAUUUGGUGCUAUAUUCUAUAUAGUUUGGCAGCUUUAGCUUAUUUAAUUACUAUUGAUUAUUAAUACUCUAAAAGUAAGAAGUGUUGGAUUGUUUAGUGGUAAAAAAGGGACAGAAUUGAGGAACUAUUUAUUCACUUCCUAACCUAAAAUUUUCUUUUGAUAUAUUGCCAUUAGGAAUAGGUUGGAGCACCAAAGACUUAAUGAUGUUGUUUAUGUGCACUACAAUUUGCGUUUGCAACAUAGGUAUAAUUGAUUUUUUACUUUAUUCUUUACAUUUUAUUUUUUAAAGUAAUAUUAGAUUUGUAACUAAUGUAUUUUAUUGUAGGUUUGAUCGCUGAAAGAGAUCUUAUGAUCCCAUUGAUUAUGAAUCUAUUGAUAAAACGGAAUUUUGGGUCAUAGAAGAAGAACAAGAUGGCGAGCUUAAUUGUGAUGAAUUGGAGGAAGAACUUGAAGAACUUCCUAAAGAUGAUUCUCAACUAGUUGAAGGUUGGUUUUAAUAUUAAAAUAAAUAUAUUUUUAACUUGUAAUAUGAGGUGCUAAAAGUGCAUUUUUUAAUUUGAAUUUUAUUAUAAAUAUGGAUAAGUCCUUAAUUGUUGCUUUAUUUAUUUAUUUAGAUGAUGAAAGUGAAGUUGGGGAAGAUAAUGAUAUUGACUUGGAAGCAUUUCAGCGUAGGCGCCUUUUGGAUGGUGAUGAAGAUAAUGAUUGGUAAUAUAACAUAUUAAUUAGUAAUGUUUAGUAGCAAUUGAUUUUUUUUUUUGUGUUGGUUAUCUCUUUGUUUUUCAAAAUUUUUUGGCUUUUUUUUUUAGUUUUACCAAUUAAAUUUAUAUUUUUUGUAAUAAACUUUUUAACUUUUUCAGGUUAAAUCGAUGAAAUUGUGAAUGGGGUGCUGAUGCCUUGUCAUGCCAAUGAUGGACAUUUGUUAUUCAAAUUGUAUGCCUUGAAUAUGAGUUGAACUCUUUUAUGGACUUUUUUGGAAUUGUGAAAGAAUGUCAACAUUUAUUUUAUUUAUUUGUGUGUUUUUGUUUGUGAUAAUUGGUGAACAUUUGGGCUAUAUCUAUUUAUGUUUGUAAUGAAUUUAUGAAAACUUGCGGUGAAUUAUGAUAUUUUAGUUAUAUUUAUCAUUCCAGGUUUCAUGUAUAAUUUUUAGAAAAUUUAUUAUUAUCUCAACUUAAAUUUAGUUUUAAGUUAUAUUGAUGAAUGUAUUUUAGGGACUUAAGUUAUUAAUAACCAUGUUAGAGUGUACAUUAGCCGUCAAGUUCCAGUGUAGACUGUACAGUGAAGACCUAUGAAGUACUUAGCAUUAAAGCUGCAAAAAAAAAAAAAAAAAAAACAGAGAAUCGUUGAACCGGCCGGUCCGAUCGAUCAAACCGUGAACCGCCCCCUCUCCGGUUUCACUGGCCGGUCCGAGUUUAAAAACAUUGCCUUUACCAUAUGUUGUCUCAUCGUGACGUGAUCUGAGUGUUAAAAAGGUAGACCUCCAGACCACAUGCAUUCCCUGGUAUUUCCCUUGGGAUCUCUAGUAAGCAUCAAAAGGGGAUUGAUUAUUCCUAAACUUUAACUCUACUAUGCAAAGAAGCAAAAGGUCCUUAGAUUACCAGGAUAUUUUGAUUUUUGUUAUUUAAUAUAUCAUUGCCUUGAUGAAAUCAUAUUGAAUAAGUUAUGGCAUAUAGAUUGUUACUUGGUUAAAUAAUUGACAAAAUAGAAUAAUGAUAUUAUUGGUUUUUUCUUGUUAAAGCUGCCUUCCAUGUGUGCUCUCCGACAUCUAAACUCACAUAAUUUCUUCCAACAAGAAAUUGAUAUCUAUACUCCCUCCAUCCCAUUUUGUAGAUUUCUUUUCUUUUUACAUUCAUCUCAAAUUAUAAUCCAAUCUUCAAUUGAAAAAUGUUGAUGUAGUUAAUUUGUAAUUUCUCUAAAAUGCCCUAGACUUGUUUUCCUUCUUUGAUAAACUUGUUUUCCUUCUUUAUCCAUCUUAAAUUGUAGUCCAUUUUUCAAUUGAUGAAUAUAUAUGUAGUUAAUUUAUAAUUUCUCUAAGAUACCCUUAUUUAAUGUAGGUUAUUGUUGAAUAUAACCUAAUUUAUUUACUAUAAAGCUAAAUAGUUAUACUCCAUUUAAUGUAAUUUAUUUACUGUAAAGCUAAUUAAUCACUAAUCAUGCUCUUUUAAUGUAUUUAGUCAUACUCCAUUUUUUCUUUUUCCUUCAGUGGGUAUCCGGAUACAUUGCUUAUAUUUUGAACUAAAUUAUAAACUAACAAAAUUCGUUAAACUUAAUGAAAAUGACGGCCUCGGCCGUUAAACUUAACGGAUAAAAUGAUGGCCUCGGCCGUUAAACUUACCGGAUUCUAUUAAAUUUACUGUUAAAUUUACCGGAUUCUAUUAAGUUUUUCGUUAAGUUUAUCGGAUUCUGUUAAGUUUAACGAAUUCUGUUAGUUUAUAAUUUAGUUCAAAACAUGAGGCGCCGUUUUGUAUGUUUUGAAUCCACGGGGGACUUUUAUGUGUAUUAGGUAUACCACAAGGGUUUUUUUUUUGUUUUUAACACACACAUAUAUAUAUCUAUAUAUAUGUGCCUCUAGAUAAGGCCUGAUUUGGAUUUGGAUCACAGAAUAUUAGACCGAAUCCAAAUCCAAAACUUUCUUACCUACAGAUAGAAUUUGACUCCGAGUGAAAUCUAAGUUUGAGAAAUAAAACCCAGAUCCUAUCCGAAAUACAUUGGAUCUGGGUAAGGUUCGAUCGAUUGACAUAUUUAGAGGUAAGUAUGAAUUAAGUUAAUUCCGAGUUGCGAAUGCCUUUUGAUCCUAUUUUAUUUUGGAGUCGUAUUGAUUACUGCUGAGUGCCUGAUUGCCUACAAAUUGAAUUUGAAGGCUGGAACUGGACCAAAUGAUGGACUGCGAUGCAUACCCACUUCAUUUAUGAACAGUUCCUUCUUGAUCUUAGUCGUGAUUCCAUCCGCCAAUUCCUUCAUAACUUAAAUGAAAGAUUUGAGAAUCCACUAGAGCCACCGAGACCUUUAUUAGGGAUGGAUGUCACGGCGUGAUUAUUUCUACUAUUCAAUUUUAAAUGGGACUUGGGUUCCUUGUAGUUUGUAUUGAGGACCUAUGUAUUUCAAACCUUUACCAUAUGUUGUCUCAUCGUGACGUGAUCUGAGUGUUAAAAAGGUAGACCUCCAGACCACAUGCAUUCCCUGGUAUUUCCCUUGGGAUCUCUAGUAAGCAUCAAAAGGGGAUUGAUUAUUCCUAAACUUUAACUCUACUAUGCAAAGAAGCAAAAGGUCCUUAGAUUACCAGGAUAUUUUGAUUUUUGUUAUUUAAUAUAUCAUUGCCUUGAUGAAAUCACAUUGAAUAAGUUAUGGCAUAUAGAUUGUUACUUGGUUAAAUAAUUGACAAAAUAGAAUAAUGAUAUUAUUGGUUUUUUCUUGUUAAAGCUGCCUUCCUUGUGUGCUCUCCGACAUCUAAACUCACAUAAUUUCUUCCAACAAGAAAUUGAUAUCUACACUCCCUCCAUCCCAUUUUGAUAGACUUCUUUUCUUUUUACAUUCAUCUCAAAUUAUAAUCCAAUCUUCAAUUGAAAAAUGUUGAUGUAGUUAAUUUGUAAUUUCUCUAAAAUGCCCUAGACUUGUUUUCCUUCUUUAUCCAUCUUAAAUUGUAGUCCACUUUUCAAUUAAUGAAUAUAUAUGUAGUUAAUUUGUAAUUUCUCUAAGAUAUUCUUAUUUAAUGUAGGCAGAUUCGACCACACGAUCUAGGGCCUAAUGAGGUGAUCCCACGGCCAGCCAACCAGCACCCGGGGGACUCAUUCUCCAUUUAAUGGAAGGACAUUUUAGGAGGAAGUAAUUAACUCUCAUGAUUUGGAGCCAUAGGCUCCACCUGGCAAUUAAGAGCCUUAAACCCACAAAGUUACAAGAAAAUAUUUUAGAAUUAAGAAUUGGGCAGGGGCCGCGCGAAUGCAGGCCCCUUCUACUACAAAUUAUGACGUAGGCUCAACCAACUUGGGCUGACCUUAGGCGGGCACCCCUCCCAAGUGCAAUGGAGGUCACCAACUUAGGCCAUGGGCCUUCUUGAUCACCCAUUGACCCCGUCCAGGUAAGUAUGUUUCCAAGUAGCUUUCAUGCAUAUUUAAAUAUGCAUUACAAGGCUUGCUUUCACCUGUCUGUCCCAAUGUGGGAUAAUGCUUUCUUCAAUGCUUUUGUCAUUCUAUUCUUUAUUGUGGGUCCUAACUCCUAGCUAGUAACAACUAACAAGUAUUGUUACGUUCCGGAUAAAAAGAAAAUCAAAUUAAUAGUCAAUAAAUAUACAUGAGUUGCAAUUUUAUGGAGAUUCUAUGGCCCCUUUUAGGUGUCACACUCACAAGUGAAAUUCACCGUUAGAUAGCAAUAGAAGUGUUAUGGACCAUUAAAUUAAAUAUAGUUACAUAUUUAAUAUUUAAACUAUUAUAUUUAAUGAGAGAUACAAACUGAAGGAAUGGUAUCCAAAAGGUAUCAUAGGAUUUUUUACAAUCAAUCUUUAAGUGUUUUAAGAUGUCUAAUUGCAAUGACCUUUUCCCUUUCUCCUUUUUCAUUUUUGUCUUGUAAUAUAGUACAGUGAACUUUAGAAGAGGAAAAGUUUCAUUUUAGUAAUUAUCAUCCCAAUUAAAACAUUUGAACUUGGAUAUGAGAGGUGAGGGUACCAUGGAAAUAACAAAAUACUAAGAGCCAAUGUCGAGCCCCAUUUUUUUGAAUAAAUAAAUAAAUGGUUUAAAAAAAUGUAUUUUUUGUGAUUGAAAAAUGAAUUGUGAUUUAAAAGAAAAAAUGGGUCUAAAUGGGGGGUUGAGAAUGCGACGAUUUGACCCAAAAUUAUAGUUUAAAAAGGGUUUUUGAAAUAAAAAUUGGAGUCGCCACUUGGUAAUGAGUUAAGGUGUACCAAGUCACCAAAAAAUGAAUUUUUAAAGAAAAAAUAGGAAAAAGUAGUAAGAAACCCCUUUUAAACGACUCCUAGUCCACGUAAACCAAAGAAAAAGGUUCGGGAGUCACAUUUGACAAAGGGGAAGGCAAGGAUAAAAUCCAAGGCACCCCUUUGAUCUAGCCAAGACUAGUUGCAUGAUUUAAUCAAAGAUUUUCUUGUUUUAACCAAAGAAUUUAUUACAUUUGGAUGCACUACAUGAAUGCAAACCCUAGACCUAGGGGUAUUGGGGAAAAUUUCUCUUCAAAGGUUGAGUGGUGCCAAUCACAUUAAUUGUGAAGCCCAAUAACGAUCCUUUGAAGAAGUCACGAAUAAUGCGAGUGGGAUGCAAAUGAAUGGAAUGCAUGUAUGCAAUGUGAGGACAUGAGUUUGAAAAAGUAAUAAAAACAAUAAAUAUGUAAAUGAAAAUGUGCACGUGAGUGGGCAAGGUACGGUAUGUGAAAUGAUAAUAUGAAGUGCAUGUGUGCAAGUGAUGAUAAAAGUGUUCAUGUGCAAGUGAAGAAACAUAAAGGUGCACGUGUGCAAAAUGGGAGGAAAAAUGAAAGUGUGAUGAGGGUAUAAAAUGGUAGAGUGGAUUUAAAAAUGCAUGAGCCUAGGGAAUUCAUGCAUAUUGGGUACGGGGAGACCUAAAUCGUGACUCAAUUUGCCCUUUUAUAGAGGGAAUACAAGCGUGCUAAGGCUUAGAAAAAGCCACACUCGUCUAUAUCCCAUAUUUAAGGGGACUCUCAAGCAAAUGAACCCUAUAACUAGCAUGAAAUGCAAAAAUCCUAAAAUGGAGGGAAAAGGGGUUCGAGGGGCAUGCAAAAUGAUAAAACUAAAAAGAAUGCAUGACAUGUAAUGAACAUGCAAACAUGUACUAACGAGGGGAAAUCCCUAAGGGUCUAGCGUUGGACUAGCCCAUUCUAUGAAUUCCGACUAGCGUUGGACUAGUGGAAACGUACAUUCAUCCAUCACAUUCAUUCAGGCUAUGGAAAGCGAGUAGACAUGCCAAACACUUAUAAACACAUAGCACAUAACAUUUAGCAUGCUCGACUAGAUGCAAGGCCCUAACAAAGCAAAUUAACACGUAGUAACUAAGCAUGCAAGACACAUAAGACAAUUAAAGCCCUAACUAUUACAUUUGCUAGCUAGGCACAUGACUUCGAUAGGUCUUCAUUGAAUGCUCCUCCAAUCCCUAUCUAUUACAUUAGGGAGACCCUACUACAAUCUAAAAGGGGAAAAGGAAUAAAAUAAUUAAAUCCCUAACUAUUACAAGCCAAGAGGUGUACACAUACCCCAUAAAGAAUAACUUAAGUAAAAAGCAAAAUAAAUGACAUAAAUAAAAGAAAUUAAAGAAAGGCUAGGAAAGCAAAGUAGACAUGUAUUUCUCACGUAGCACGUUGGUUCACAUAGGAGAGACACAAAAAGUUAAAAGAAGUUAUACCUCCCUUGAGUUGGAGCUCUAAUGGGGUGAAGUCACUUAUUUAUCCUCCAAAAUAAAAGAAAUGAUCAAGGUACCAAUUUAUUAAGAAAAAUUAAAGAAAUGUGCAAAACAAAGCUCACUUGAUCGUAAAGCCCCUAAAGUUAUGACUUAAGUGCAAUUGACAAAGCAUGGUAGUUAAUUAAAGCAAACAAACAAUGAAGUUGCAAAAAUCAAAGCUGCGAAGGACCAAAUUGAGGACGUUAUUCAAUUGGUUGGGUCAUAGUGGCAUAAGGAAAAACUUGGGAGUCUGAAGUGCAAUUUUAGAAAGUUGAGUUGCAUGCAAACCAUGCAAACUAACUGAGAAAACAUUCUGUGAAAACUGAUGUACCUUUGUCUCAAAUUCAAACUCUAAAAUCAGAUUUGAUCUCAUACUUUAAUCCAAAGAUUACUUGAUCCAUCAUCAAAUUGCAAACCAAACAAACACAAAACAUGAACUAGACAUUCUGGACCAGAAAAAUCAUAGAAAGAAAUCAUGCAAACAUUUAAAAACUUCAUGCAAACCAAAACUAAGAAACUUCUCACAACAAGAAAUUUGCUGCGACUAUGUUUCCAAAUAGACACUUCAGAUUUGAACACCAACCUUGGUCAUAAACCUUUCAAUCAAACCUCUAAACCUUGAACUAAACAUUAUGACACACAAAUUCAAAGUCCAAACUAGUCAAGACGUAGAAGAUACAUCAUGUUCAUGCUGGAAAAUUUUAUGCGAAAGGUUCAGCAAUCCUGAUGAAUUUUUCAGCAAAUGCUCAAACAUGAUUCAAAAAUUUUAGAUUCAAACAUGCCAACUCAAACCAAUCUUCACCCAUCCAAUUCCUCUCUCCAAAUAAGAGCAGACAUCGAGUUGAAUGGCCAAAAUUUGGUAAAACAAAUGCAAGAAAGAAAACAGCAAAAGGUAAGACCGAAUGCAGCAGCCUUUGUUUCUCUUAUCUUAGCUUAAAAGUAUUGACAUGAAAAACUCAAAUAAGCUCUACCCACUUGUCAUCUAAAGACCACAUGUAAGGAAUUCACCCCCCAUUAUCAUCGAAUGUCACCCAAGCAUAAACUGCCUUGAAGAUUCAAACAAAGCCAAUGGACAAAAAAUGCAGCAACAGAAAAAAUGAAACUCACGGCAAUCUUCCAGCCGAGCUUGUUUGCAAUUGUUAUGUUUGUUCAAAACACAAUUUUCCCACCCAAACAUGGCUAAAAUCCCAGCCAAACAAAACAUCAAUAUCAACCGGACACUAAAGAUAACAUAAGAUGUAGAAUCGACACUUGAACAAACAAAGAAAAGAAAGACAAUUCUGGUUGCCGCAGGUUUGAAAAAAAAUUGCAACAAAAAGGAGAAAAAGAAGAAGAAAUUGGCGGCAUGCUUAUCUGGAAACAUAAACUUUAUGUAAAAAAGAUUCAGCAGCCAGUUUGUGAUAUGACGAAGACUUAGAUAAACAGACCCACAGGAAGAAACUUGACCGAAGCAAAAUUUGCAACUACUUCAGAAAAACCAACCACACGUAUCGAUGCAACAAACUGAAAAUUUCUGAACUUGCGGCAGCAAAUUUAUGCGCAAACAAACUCAGUUGAAAUCAUCUAAACUCAGGCAACAAGACCCCCAAACAUUCUUUCCCAUUUUUCCGACAUGAAACCUUAAGAUUUCGGCAUACAAACAAGAAUAAAAACACAAACAUGGGAAUUUUCUACUACACAUGAACCCGGAUGCUUUCUCGAAUGAGCCAGCCAUGAAAAAUGUCAUUUUUUCUGCUUAAAGUUAACAUCUCGCCGCAUAACCACAACCUAAUAACAAAGUCUAACAACAGCACCAAAUGAAUCCUAAGCAUUAACGUAAUGGACAUGCAUAUAAACAGCAAAAGAUCCCAACUUUGGGGUAUAAACACAACCCACAGACGAUGGAAGACAUGCUUACCAACUUCGAUCAACUAGAACUGACCAAAACUUCUCUCAUAAAAACCAAAAAUGAUAUCUGAAUACUAAAACUUAAAUCCCAGGAAAAAGAAAGAGUACUUACCGUAAGAAAGAGAAACUUGGUCGCCGAAGUAGUUGAUGAUUGAAGCCUUACUUCUCUGAUGCCGUUCCUCUGUUUCUUCUUUGCCUCCUCCUCUCCUCUAUUCUUGCCUUUCAGUUCUAAUCUAGCCCACCACUCUUGCGGUUUUCUUUCUCUGAUUUCCCCUCCCAACAGUAACCUCACACGCCGCUAAUCCUUUUCUCUGGUUUCUUCCCUUUGUUCCCGUCUCUUCCUUUUUGUUUCCCUCAAAACUCUCUUCCGCGGCUACUAUUUUUCUUCUUACCUUUUAUAUGGAACCCCAGGUUCCUAAACCCUCACCCCAAUGGUGAGGAUGAAAGGUCUUCUCACCUGAAAAAUCCAGCCAUCCGAUGGGUAUCUCUGAUCGUCCUUUGCAAGCUGCAAAAAUAUGCAGCUUGCAUGCCGCGGCCCUUUUUUUUUUUUUUAAUCUUUUCAACUAAUUAAUUAAUUAAACAAAAUUGAUAAUAAUAAUAAUAAUAAUAAUAAUAACGAAAACAACUUAAUUAACAUUGGAUAAAAAUAAAUAAACUAGAAACAAUAAAAUGCAACUUUCCAUUUUUCCUUUUUCAUCAUUUUUCACUUUUUUUCUUUUUUUCACUUUCAAGAAAGCAUUGAAUUUAAAUUACAAACGACUAAAUCAUAUUUUUUGAAUGCUUUUUCUUUUUCUCUUUUCUUUUUUUUUCUAAAAUGUCUAAAAAUGAGAUUAGUAAAACCAAACUAAAAUAAAUAUCAAUAAAACUAAUAAAAUAAAGUCAAAAAUUUGGUGUCUACAGCCAAAUGAUGCUAUCACUUGAAAAGAGAAGAAACUAUAGUUCUAAAGAGGGUAUAUUGAUAUACACAGAUUAGAUUGGAUACAGAUAGUUUCAAUGGAUAAACUGUCUUUUUAAGAGUUUGCUUUUCUCUUUACCUUCAUGAAACCAAUUUGACUCUCAGCAUAAUCCAGCAUAAUCUGACUAGAGUAACCAUCGAACACUACCAGAUAAAAGCACUCACAAUCAUACAAAACAUCUACACAAAUGACCUUUUUAAUUCUUUGGGCAUGGCUCCUUCCUAAGAAGCAAUUUACGUGAAAUUGUAAUAAAAAUUAGUGGACCAAGAAAUUUUCUUUUUUCACAAACCAUUUCUAAUUUAUAAGGAAAAAGAAUAGGUGACCAAAAAAAAAGAAAGGAGAAACAAAAGAAGAAAACUAGAAAUCAGGACUCAAAAAAUAUUUGCAGUAACUGUUAAAGUUUAUAGAUAGGACUUUUAACAAAGCUGAGUGUGCAUUACUGCAUAGUGAAAGAAAAGUCCAAAGCCAUCAAACUUUUACACCCUGAAUACAAAGAAAAAGUUAGCACAAUUUUUCUUCAAUUUCUGCUACUCUUCACUCCUCUCAGAUUUUGCCAAAGAAAUAAAAAGUUGUCGUGAUCAAUCAAAUCAAACUCAGAAUGUAAUUUGUAAACUUUCAAGUAUAUUUCUAAAGCUUUCACUCUCACUACAUAUUCUCUCCUUCUCUAAUUUCUCCCAUCUGAUCAGACAGACAAUUCACACCUCCUCUCUUGGGCCACCCACGGCUUCUUCUGGUCACCGCAUCAGUCCUUGCAGGUAUUCUCUUCUUCAUCUGGAUUUCGAAAACUUUUGGUGUUUAUUACAGAAUUAAUCCAUGAGCAAAUGCAGACCUAAGGUCAUAACGUAGUUUGCAGCUAACUAUAUGUUGAUCGUCUUGAUUCGGAUUGGAAAACUCGUAUUUAAUUACAGAAAUUAAUUCAUAAACAAUGUCAGGAUUGGAUUCCUCAACGUCUUCAACACGUCCUCAUACUCACCGUUCUUGAGCAUCAGCAUGAGAGAGCCUUGGAAGACAUCAACAAUGUCAGGAUGGGAUUCCAAAAUACGGGCCAAUGAUGAAUUUGCUCGAGUUGGUGGUCUGGAGGGCAGGCCCUGGCCGGCAACUGGUGGAACUUUCCAAAAAAUGCGGCGGCAAAAACUAUGGCUGCAGUGGUCUUUUUCAGACUGGAAAUUAAAGGCUGCAGUGGUCUUUUUCAGACUGGAAAUUAAAGGAUUUGGAUUGGAGGAAUUAGAACUAGAUUUGAACUCGAAUUACAAUCUGAAGUAGCUUUGAUAAUGGUGAAGUUUCUACUGUUCAGAGGCCUAAAAGAGGAUGUUUGAAAUUGAAAAUGGGGUGAUAUAACUUUGAGGUUAGAUUACUGUGGAGGAAGGAAGAUGGUGAUGGUGAUGAUGCCAUGGUCAAAGUUGAACCCAUUGAUGAAAAAUUGUAUGGUUUUUUCCUCUGUGUUUUGGGGGAAAGAUUUUAGAGGUUUUGCAGAAUGAAAUUGGAAAGGAGUGGGGAAUGGGUUGGAUGAGAAGCUGGUGUUUAUGAAAGAACCGGUUUUUUGGAUUGAUGGUCUGAUCGGAUUUCAGCUUUGCUGGUCUGACCGGACUUUGAAUGAUUUGCUCAAAUGAAAGAAAAUUUUUUUUUAUUUGGUGAAAGCAUGAAAUAUCUAUAUCUAUAUAAAUUUGAGAAGGGAUUUUUAGCAAAUAUCUAUAUAAAUUUGAGAAGGGAUUUUUAGCAAUAAACCUUCACAAUCCUUCCCACUCUCAACUCUAUUUUUAUAGCAUUUUACAUUUAAUUUAUUUCGUAAAAAAUAUCAUGAACACAUUACACCUGCACGUUUUCCUCAAACAAGAAGUUAACUCCAACUAAACACUCCCACGUUUCCUCAAACAAGAAGUUAAUUCCAACUAACUCUCCUCACACAUCUUCCCACUACAAUUAAACCUCUUUCAAUCCAAUUCCAUGAUAAGAUUGACCAAGAUCUCUUUCCACUUGCUGUUGGUAUCCUUAUUAGCCCCCGCGUGUCAGAUAGUCGUCAUGCCACUACUGAUUCCCAUAAAGGUAAUUCAAUUUAUUUUCACUUUAUUUUAUUUAAUUUUUAUAGUUUAUCAAUAAUAUAGCAUAUUGUGCAGAACCGUCACUUUAUACUAUUCGAGCAAGCAAAUUGUAUGUCAAUUACUACUUGGAUUUUGCUCAAUACCUACACAGUUGGUAAGUUUUACAAAUACCAAAAUAUUAAAUUAUUAAUAAUAUUUCAUACUUUUGCGAAUAUAUAUUUGAAAAAUUUGCAGGUUUGAGAAUGAUAAAUGUGCUCAGAAAUUGGUGACGUGGUUGCGGUCAUGCAGUUUUAUAAUGCCCCAAGCAUUAUUGAUAUCAAAUGCUAAGAGAAUAUGGAUAUCCGAAUAUGCAGUUAUACCUACGGUACAAUUCCUCUCAAUUAAUUAAGUAAUGAACAAAUAUCUACAUAUAGUUUCGAAUUAAUAAUUGUAAUCUAUACAUUCUUUGGAUUGUUUUAGAUUAAAUAUUUUCGGAUACUUGCUUACAUUCAAAGUAUCAACAUAAACAAUAUGUUCCAUGAGUUAUGCAAAAAUUGUGGACAACCAUGUCAAUCUCAUUUUGCAAAAAUGGUGGUAUCCAUUGUAAUGACACUAUUGUCAGGUAAUUAUUUUCAUAUAUUUUGAAUUUUAAUAUAAUUUUUUACAUCAUACAUCACAAUUUCUUCUUAACAGAUAUAAUGUUAACAUAGAAGUUAGAGAUUUCAGUGGUAACCUAUAUCUCGCUCUUCAAGACAGGCAUGCACGAUUCAAGAUGAACCAAUAUUGUUAGAUUAAGAGUAAUGGUGCAAAAGAAGUCAAUACAGACGGUUUCUUGAAUACUAGUGACAGUUUGACAGUUUGAUGGUAAUUAAUUCCCCCCGAAAAGACAUGCUUGAGUUUCAGAUUUGGUUUCAAAAUAUGUUAUUAGGGCAAACUAACUCAAUUUUUAAGAUAAUCAUGAUAUAACAAUCAAAGUAUUUAGAAAUUCCUUUAUAGCCCAAAAGAUUUGAUAUUGGACUAGUUUUGAAUUAAUUAAUCCUAUUGGUUAAAUUGAGUUCAAAGUGUUGUGAAUUUAACUAGCGAAAUAUACUAAUAUAGUGAAAUGUCCAAAUUAAUUAGACCAAUUCGUUUUCAUAAAUUGGAUUAUUUUAAGAGCCCAAAUUUGUAGCAAUGACCCAAUAUUAAUUAGACACCUUAAAGAAUUUAUUUUAAAUGUCCAAUAUUGUUAUAAAGACCAGUUGUGAAUAAAUGAACUCAAAGACUAUACUCUUUUAAGUGUCCAUAUAAAUUGUGAAGCAAUUCAAUGGUGAAACGCUGAUGGCUACUAUGAAGAAGGUUUGGAACCAUCCAAGGGUCUCACCCACACUUCAUUGGGAGAUAACCUUUUUCUUUUUAAGUUUAAUGACAUGCUUGAUAAGAAAAAAGUUUUCUCUGGUGGCCCAUGGUGUUUUGAUGAUAAUCUAAUGGUCAUCAGUGAUUAUAUCAGCAACGUCCAGCCAACCAACAUGAAAUUUGACACCUGCUCCUUUUGGGUGCGCGUAUAUAAUCUUCCAUUGAGUUGGAUGAAUGCCAAAACAGCAGAAUACCUGGGAAAUAAGUUAGGGGUCUAUGAAGGCUUUGAACAGAGAGGUGACUUGUUUGCCUGGGGAAAAUUCCUGCGUAUCCGUGUGAAGAUUCACCUAGAAUCUCCUCUUAAGCGAGUAAUGCAUCUGUUCAUUGAAGGCAAAGUACAUAAGGUGCUCUUUCAAUAUGAAAGGCUUCCUAUAUUAUGCUUCUACUGUGGAAGAAUUGGCCACGGCGAUCGGGAUUGUGAAUUGAAGCUUGAUGCAGCAACCUAUGACACUGGGGAUCCGCAAUAUGGAGGAUGGCUUCAAGCUAAAUCGGAAAAAUCAUUUUCCUGCCAACAACGCUCUCGGCCAGUUGUAACGGUAAGCGAUAUUGAGAAUCGCGUGCGACAAGGAACAGAUAAGGGAAAGAGAUCAACUGCAUCCUCAUCACCUGACUGUCUUGAAUUUUCAAAUUCUGAUCAUACCCAAUCUGACCAUUUGGAUAAUGAUCCGGAGAGACAUCAGGACCUAAUCAAAGGUAAAUCUUCUACCUCUACCUCUGAUAAUUUGGAUCCUACCCAACCCAAAUCAAGGAGUACAGCAGAUAAAUGGACAACCAAUAAAUCCCCUGCCUCCUCAACCCAGCCCACCGAUGACUCUUCUCGCCUCCCCGUUACACCGCACAAUAUACCAAGACCGUCUACCCCUUUGGAUAACAACAUACCAGUUCAAACCAACACCCGAAACAAAGCACCUAAAGCUUCUUUCACUCCGCUAGUCCAACUAGAAGCCCAAAUAAUUCAGGACAAAUUCUCUGCUUCUCUACCUACCUUAAGCCAAUUGCCAAAUUUGACUCUCACUCAACCCAGGAGUAACCAAUUACAAGCUAUUGUCCCUACUAUAUCCCCCGUAAUUUCUGACCCCAUUCCCUCCUCAUCUGAGCCGCCUAUUCAGUCAACAUCCAAUAAUCCCACCUCCACUCCAGCGCAUACCCAACUAUCUGAAAACAUAAAUCCCAAUUUCCCUACCCCUAAUCCAACCCUCCCAAUUACUUCCCCAGAUUUACCCAGCAAACUCCUACAACAUACCCAAACUACAGUCAGCUCCUCCACACUUCUCAAAACAGCGGAACUCUUCCUAGUUGAUGCACCCCUAAGAGAGCACAAAAAACAUUCGGAUAUCCAUAAUCUCCGAGCUCUAGCUAGUACAUUCAAAUGGAGAAAGAGCACUGACAGUCCCCAAUCAGGUUUGAUGUCGUCUAUGGAACAAACUUUUCAUACAAGGUUAUUAGGCAACAAGGUGAAACGUCCUGAUAAUUUUUCCCUCUCUGAUGAUGUUGAUAUGGAGGAUGUUUCUCUUUCCAAGAAAUCUAAGACAUCUGGUUCAACUGCAUCUCACGGUAUUUCAACGGCGGAGGCUGGUUACCAGCCCCGCCAAGAAUCAUGAGUCUUUUCAGUUGGAACUGUCGGGGGUUGAAAAACCUCCGCACAGUUCAUGAACUCCGGAGUCUUAUCCGGAGAGAAAGACUUUCAAUUAUUUUUUUGAUAGAAACUAAGUGUUCUAGUAGAUUUGUGGAGAAACUGAAGCAACAAAUUGGAUGGUUUGGUAUUGGUGUGGAUGCGCAGGGCAUCUCUGGUGGGUUAGCUCUCCUGUGGAAAAAAGAUCUUGACAUAUCAUUGAACCGCUUCGCAAGUAAUUUUAUUGAUGCCAAUGUUCAUACGCCAAAUUACACAUGGCGUUUAACUGGCUUCUAUGGACACCCUGAUGCUUCAAAGCAGAAAUAUUCCUGGGACUCUCUCCGACAACUAAGCUCCCAAUCUCGGCUCCCCUGGAUUUGUAUUGGUGAUUAUAAUGAGGUCCUUAGCCAAAGCGAAUUUGAAGGUUCUGGUCCACGAACUAACUGGCAAAUCAUGAAUUUUCGUCAAGCCUUGAUGGAUAGUAAUUUGCAUGAUGUGGGCUAUGAAGGUUUCACUUAUACAUGGUGCCAUAGUCGGACAUAUUCAAAGACAAUUAGAGCGAGACUUGAUCGCGCUUGUGCAACUCAAGAUUUUGUGGACUUAUUCCCUGAUUCAAAACUCAAGCAUGUGCACUCUAUAUUCUCUGAUCAUUUACCUCUAGUUUUUAGCUUUGAGAAUUUCUUUAAAUCUUCAAAGACUACAAAUGAGGCGAAGAGACAUAGACGUUUUAUGUUCGAAGCCAUGUGGAUAAAGGCGGAUGAUUGUGAAAACGUAAUUCAUCAAUCUUGGGAAAGUACAUCUGCGGAUAAUGCUUGUGUUAAUUUGUUCAAGAAAACAGAUAAAUGUCGAGUGGGCCUUUUACAAUGGAGCAAAUCAAAAUUUGGUAAUGUUUGUUCUGUAGCAGACGACCUAAGGAAAAAGAUUGCUAAGCUGCAGCAAGGGACUCUCUCUGAUGCUAUUAAGUCUCACAUUGGGACUUUAACAAAUCAAUUAGAGGCUAUUUUGGAUCGGGAAGAUACUAUGUGAAAGCAAAGGAGCAAAACUCACUGGUAUCGGGAGGGGGAUCGGGAUACAGCUUUUUUCCAUGCACAAUCAUCCAAGCGAAGGAAGCAAAAUCAGAUAAAUGGCCUUUUCAAUGAUGCGGGGCAGUGGUGCAACUCCCAUGAUGAUCUGGAGCACAUUAUCUUAGACCAUUUUGGAUCCAUUUUUUCCAGUUCAAAGCCAUCUCCUGAGAUAAUUGAUGCAGUUUUGCAAAGGGUGCAACCUAAGGUAUCUGGACGAAUGAAUGAUUCACUGCUGCGAACUUACUCAACCUUUGAGGUAACACAAGCUUUAAAUCAAAUGCAUCCUUUAAAUCUCCCAGUCCUGAUGGCAUGUUCCCAAUAUUUUAUCAGAAAUUUUGGCAUGUUGUUAGUCAGGAUUUAGUGAAAUGUGUUCUUGAAUUCCUGAACAACGGGCAUUUUGAUAAUCAAUUGAAUUUCACUUACAUUAUGCUUAUCCCAAAAUGCCAAUGCCCAUCCAAUAUAACUCAGUUUCGUCCAAUUAGUCAAUGUAAUGUAGUUUAUAGAUUAGCUUCUAAGGUUAUAGCCAAUAGAUUAAAUAAAGUUCUUUCAGUAAUUCUCUCACCCUUUCAGUCUAUUUUUCUUCCUGGUCGUCUUAUUACAGAUAAUAUCCUGAUCGCUUACGAAGUUAACCACUCUCUUAAAUCAAAGUCGGCAGGCAGAGAGGGAUCCAUGUUCAUUAAAUUGGACAUGAGCAAAGCAUUUGAUAGGGUUGAGUGGCCUUUUCUUAAAGGAAUGAUGUUGGCUUUAGGUUUUCAUCCUUUGUUUGUUGAUCUUAUUUCCAGUUGUUUCUCUACUGUUUCUUAUUCUUUUCAGCUAAAUGGUGUUCAAUUUGGUUAUCUACGACCACAGCGGGGCAUUAGACAAGGCGAUCCAAUUUCUCCGUAUUUAUUUCUUAUAUGUGCAGAGGCUUUUUCCUGUCCAUUGCAAGAAGCAGAGGCUUGUGGUAAAUUGUCAGGAGUACGAAUAGGUCAGAGUGGCCCUAAGCUUUCUCAUUUAUUAUUUGCAGAUGAUACUUUGUUAUUUGGCAAAGCGACCCUACAAGAAGCUCGACGUAUUCAAGAUAUCUUGCAACUAUAUAAGGAAGCUUCUGGGCAAGAGAUCAAUCUUGAGAAAUCUGCUGUGGUUUUCAGUAGUAACAUAGAUUUCUCAACCCGAUAAGAUAUCACUCAGUUUCUGAAUAUUAAAGAAGUGGUUGCACAUGAAAAAUAUCUUGGUCUUCCCACCAUUAUUGGACGCUCCAAAUGUGAGGUAUUCUCUUCUAUCAAGGAUAGAAUUUGGCAACGAAUUCAAGGAUGGAAUGAACAAUGGUUAUCAAAAGGGGGAAAGGAAGUGUUGUUGAAAGCAGUUGUUCACGCAAUUCCUACAUAUUCGAUGUCUUGUUUCAAAUUUCCAGAUUCUUUGCUAAUGGAUAUCCAAUCAAUGAUGAGCAAUUUUUGGUGGGGUGAUGGAAAUAAGGCUAGGCCGAUUCACUGGGUUAGUUGGGAUAAACUUUGCAACCGAAAGGAAGAUGGAGGAAUGGGCUUUAGGCAGUUUCACACUUUUAAUCUCGCAUUGUUAUCUAAGCAAGCGUGGCGUAUUGCUACACAACCAUCUAGCCUUCUUCAUCGGGUAUAUAAAGCUAAAUAUUUUCCCAAUACUGAUUUCUUCCAAGCUCAAGAAGGAUCGCGGCCUUCCUAGUCUUGGCGCGGACUAUGUGAGGUCAGGAAGUAUAUUGAGGCAGGAAGCAGAUGGCGAGUUGGUUCUGGCCAGUCUAUCAAAAUCUGGUCAGAUAGGUAGCUUCCACGGCCAUCUAUUUUUAAAAUCGUGUCGCGGUCUACUGCGUUGCCGGAGAAUUCCACAGUUGAUUCCCUGAUAGACUGGGAGCGAAAGACUUGGCGAGUUGACUUAUUGCAGGAAAUUUUUUGGCCUGAGGAGACCGAAUUAAUUCAAAGCAUCCCAAUUGGAGACUCUCACAAUAGGGAUAAGCUCAUCUGGCACUUUUUGAAGAAUGGAUCUUUUAUUGUGAAGAGUGCAUAUCACUUGAUCAAGCAGCGAUCUUCUAAUUGGGAGAAUUUGCCAUCAAGUAGUAGUGCUUUAAAGCAAAGUGUUUGGGCUCGGCUUUGGCACUUGAAGCUUCCUGAGAAAAUUAAAAUUUUCUUAUGGAGGGCAUGUAAAGAUAUACUGCCAACCAGCACAAAACUCAAUACUAAAGGGCUCCAUUUAGAUACCUCUUGCCCGUUAUGUCUCGCUCCAGUUGAUGAUAUGGAUCAUACCUUCUUAACUUGUCAUGUAGCUGUGCAAACGUGGGCGCUUAGUUUCUUAAGCCAGAAAAUUCAACUGCAAUCGGCUGAUCAGAUUACAUCUUGGUUUCCCAACCAGCUUUUGCGACUAUCACGCAAAGAGAUGGAAUUGGCGGGGGUUAUUCUUUGGAAUUUAUGGAAUAAUCGGAAUGGAGCAACCUUUGAUGGGCCCUACAGAGAUCCUCUGAGUUUGGUCUCCUUGUCCAUAGCAUUCCUAAAUCAAUUCCAUGAAGCAAAUUCCAAAGAUAAGUGCAAUACGCUUACCUCUCCCCAAUCAAGGUUAUCGAUAGAUCAUUGGAUACGACCCAAAGCAGGUUUUGUUAAGGCGAACUUUGAUGGAGCUGUGUUUAUGGAGGAUAAAUCAUCAGGGGUUGGUGUCAUUAUCCGGGAUGAUAAAGGAAGUUUCAUUGCUGGCCUCUCCAAGAAAAUUCUUGGGAUAUUGGAACCAAAUGUGGUUGAAUCAUAUGCGGCCAAACAUGCUACUCAACUAUUGCAAUCUUUGGGUUUCAAUAAGACGUUUUGGAAGGAGAUUCACAAAAAGUCAUCAAAAUGCUAGAGUGUUUGGAAUCUGACGAUUCAUCAUGUGGCUUGUUGAUUGAUGAUACCAUUGUCUUAUGUCAAGAUUUCAUGUUUUGGGAAGUUUCAUGGAUUCCUAGGUCGUUUAAUGUUCCAGCUCAUAACUUUGCCAAGUAUGCUGUUAAUCUUGCAGAUUCUUGUAUAUGGAGAGACUCUCCUCCAUCUUUUAUUUGUUCUGCACUUGUUGCAGAUUCGAUCUCCUAAUUAAUAAAAUUAUUCUAUUUUUAUUAUAUAAAAAAAUAUAAAUUGUAAAUCCAAAUAUAAAUAUGAAUAAGACCUUUUCAUGAAUGGGCUUAGUUCUAAGGUCAAGUCUAAGCUCAAAUACAUUUUGAACUAAUGUAGGCCUGUUUACACUAAAAUAGGAAGUUUCUUUAUGAAUAUAUGAAUUUAGACAUUUUCUAAAAAGGAAAAGUUUUCAAAUCAGGGAACCUCCAAAAAAUUAAAAACUUUCUAAAUUAGAAUACUUUAAAAAAUGGGAAACUUUUCAAAUUGGAAAACAUUUUAAAAGGGAAACUUUCCAAAAUAGGAAAUUUAUCUUCAUAAACUAUUCAAGUACAUUUUAGAAAAUGUCCAAACGUAUAUAUAUAUAUAUUUGAUUAUAGUUUUGAAGCAAGUUUGAGGCCAAGGUAAGAAUCACUUCCAGUGAGUAGUUGAAGUAGGUGGUGCUUGUCCUUCUAUAUUUUUAAAAUGCUAUAUACAUAUUUUUUCAAAUGAAAGACUUACUUUGUUAUAUGUAAAAUGGAUCAUGUAGGUUUAUUUGAAUUCUUUUCUAUAUCAUGAAAUAUGAAAUGAAAGAAAUAUGCAUGUAAUCUGUGAAAUGAAUUUACAUUGAGAAAAACUGUAAACUGUCAUGAAAUAAAUGGUAGGAACUAUAGUUGUGAUAUGUUAUGAUAGUCAUGGUAACUGUUGUGCUAGACCGAUGGACUUAUGUUAUAUUAUGUGGUCAGACGGUAAUCUAGAAACCUUCUGAUCACCUUCCUGGAAGGUGUUUAAUUUCUAGAUUUAGUACUCAAAAGUCGGAUAUUAUGUGUACUUGUUUAUGAGUUAUGUCUUAUGGAAGGAAAUGAUGUGAAUGACAUGUUAUAUGAUUUACAAGAAUUUUCUACAAAUAUGAUCAUAUCAUGUUGUUUCUAUGCCGUGUUCGACUGAGGCCACCUCUAGAACCUAGGGAUCAAGUGUCAUAUCGAAUGGAAGUCACUUAAUGGACAUUGCUUUCAUGAACGUAUGCAAACUCAAUGACCUUGUUUGAGAUCAUUCGAACUUGAGGCGGAGCGGCCCAGGACAACUUCAUGGCAUCCACGAUUUCCAACUUCCUUUUCUUUGGCAACCUCUCUUUCUUUGCAGAUUCUUUGACUUUGAUACACUUAGAGUCAUCCUUUCUUUUUCUACAAAGAAUUCUGCUUGUUGGUAAAAUUUGGGAGCUCAUUUAUGUCCAAAUUUCAAUAAAUAUAAGAACUUAAGUUAUGCCUUGUUUAUGUUUGUUAAUAUGCCUCAAUGAAGUUCUCUAAUUAAAUAAAUUUGCCAUUGGUCCCAAUAUUUUUCUACAACCCCACUCUUCAAUCAUCCAACUCACCAAAGGCAUAGAAGAUCCGUAGCGAAACUUCACCAUCAACUUCCAUGUUCUAGUGUUGGGGGCCCUGAGUCAUCUCCCACGUUUAGGAAGAAGUCCUCCUCGGCUCUGUUUGAGAACCAGUCGCCGUCGGAGGUGGUGCGUGUCCAAGUGGCACUAUCUACACAUGGGGGGGAACCUGCGGUAGUGUUCAAUGUGGCGGACAUAGCUGUUGUUGCAGCUCCUUUUCGCUUCACUCUGGUAGGGAAAUUCUCCAAAGGGCGCCCAUUGCUACCAGAUUUGCGUAAGUUCUUCACUACUCUUGACUUGAAGGAGUCGGUCUCUGUGGGUUUGUUAGAUUCCAGACAUGUGUUGCUGAAGUUUCAUGGUGAGGCAGAUUUCCUUCGUGUUUGGUCUAGAAAUGUGAAUGGGUGCCCCAUGAGGGUGUUCAAGUGGUCUUCUAAGUUCCAUGUUGACAGAGAGUCAUCUCUAGUUCCUGUUUGGUUUAGAUUACCCAAGCUGCCUAUACAUUUGUUUGCUAAACCGUCCUUAUUUCAUAUUGUUUCAUGCUUGGGAAAUCCUUUGUUUGUUGAUGCGGCGACCUCUUCAUUUACUCGGCCGAAUGUAGCACGGGUGUGUGUCGAGGUGGACCUUUUGAAGUCGUUUCCGUCACGGGUUUGGGUCGACAUGGGGGAUGGUGAUGGUUUCUGGAGACUCUAAUACCUGAGAAGCUUCCCAAGUAUUGUGGCCAUUGUUACCGUCAAGGGCAUGAUGACGACCACUGCUAUGUGAAGCAUCCAGAGCUGCGCUUGCCCAAGAUGCAGUCUCAGCCGAAUCCUACUCUGGUUGAGUCCCCCUCUCUCCGCAACAACCUGGCUUCAGAGGAUGGAGAACGAGGGGAGACGAUUGUGGUGGCUGUUGAUAGGGUGGACGACGGUGGAGGACGAGGGAAUAUAAUUGUUGUGGUUGCCGAACGGGUGGAUGAUGGUGAGGCACAUAUUGUGGUAGGGGGCCAACUCGUUUCACUAGAGGGUGAUGUCCCAACUAGUGCACGCUCUACUGGGGUGCACACUCCUGCAUCGCUGUCGACUGUUAUCGCGGGGGAGCUGAUGACCGAUACAACACCAUUCCAACAGCCUGCUGCUGCUACGUUGGUGGGAGUUGCAGAUGUCCAAGCAAUAGGUGACUUGCCGUCUUCAUCACCCCAACCCCAGUAGCCUGGGUUGUCUGUCGCUACGUUAGUAGAGGAGGCCAUUGUUUCUGCUGCAGGUGAGAUCAUUCACAAGUUGGCUGAUCAAGGAACUCGAAGAUGUGCGUUUGGUAAAGCCUCAAGGGUCAGCUGUGGAUCAAAAUUUGAGUGGAGUUGUAUCUCGGAUAGAACCCACUGCAAUGUCUGCUAUUAUUGCAGAUCGGGUUAUGGUGCCGGAACAUGGAGCAGAUGUUGGGCUACAGAUUUCAACUUCGAACCCACUUGAUGAUGGGAAAUUCACUGAUCUGGAGUCUAAGGAUGACCAUUCUAUUCAACCAGCUAAUGGCGCAUUCAUAGAGGCUGCAUCGGAAGAGAAGGCGAUGGAGGCUGGCGACUCCUCACAGCAAUGUAAUGGAAUUACGUUUGAAGUGGCAAACGAUGCGCCCGAGAAGGUAGACCAAAUUCAUGACCCACGUAAUGUGAUAUCAGUUGGAGACACACCCUUGUGGGUACAAGUACAAGGACAGAAAUGAAAAAGCCACGGUUUAAAGAUGUGCCACAGUUUAAAGAUGUGUUCGAAGAGCUUAAAUGGGAGAAAUUACAUGAUAAGAUCUCCCUUGUUCAUCUAAAGCCUUUUCUUCAAGUACAAAAUGCAAUGAUAACAAAAAUGAAGAAGAAAAAGAUGAUUCACAACGUGAUAAAGAUAAAAACCAAGACCAGAACUUAGUUCACGAGUAAUUUACCCAAGUGAUUUCAAAGAAAGCGAGGAAGCAGCUUUCAAAAAAAGGUAAAACAAUGCAAACACGUCAAGAUGUUAAACCAAAUUCCCAUGCUCACUCACAAUCCCACAAAUGUAGGGCACCCUCAUGUGGAUGAUUUUGUUCGAUUGAUCUGUUAUGUGUUUGAAUCGUAGAUUUUUCCAUAUGUUUGAUCCAUAGCUGUCUUUUUUUUUUUACUUCAACAGAGGUCAGGUUUAGCCCCCCUGUAACUUGUUGUACUCUUUUUCGAUAUAAAUAAAUUCAGUUGCAUCUAAAAAAAAAAGAAUGGAAGUCACUUAUAUGCAUGCCACAAACUUUUCAAUGAAAUAUGUAUAUGUAAUAUAUGAAACAAUACUAAUGGUUUUCAAGUUGAUAUAUGCAUAGGGAAUUGUGUGACUAAAUUUGUAAAUAUGCAGUAUGUAUAUAAUUACAUGAUCCACAGAAGAAUAAGUACUCUCUAUUAGGUGUACGUCAUUCAACCUACAUUAUCUUUACUUUUCUUGCAGAUCAAGAAGUGAAGAACGGUUAAGUUUAGCAGAUUAGAGAGAGAUAAAUAAACUGACAAUCAACUCAAGGAAUUAUAAAGUAAAGUGUUUAGCAUGCGCAUUAAAUGAAGUGCUCAUACUUAAUUUAAGAGUUUGAAAUUCUCAUGUUAUAAUCAUACCGAUUAGUACAGAUGAUUUGAAUUGUUAUUGGUUUUAAUAUUGGCGAUGUUAUCAAUGGAGUAAAUGUAAGUUUUAAAUUUUAGUGAAUUUUAUAAGUUCUAAUUAAAAUGCAUAGUAUUUGUGAGAGUAGGAUUUCAUAGAUAUGGUGUGCCACAUUAUAAAAUUGGUCUAGGGAUCCGGAUUUAGGGCAUCACACUAAUCAUGUCCAUCCAUAUGAAAAACGUGGGAUUGAAAUCCCUUCAAUGCCUUCUUUGAGUAGUAUUUGUGCAUCACUUUGCUCAAUGGUAAAUUUUGACAAAAUUUAUAUUUAGGGAAAUCAUACUAAAAGAAAUAAAAAGUAAUUGGCAUCUUACUUUGUAAAAAAAAAAAAGAUUUUUAUCUUUUAUACAUAUUAGUGAGUAUAAACACAUGUCAUGUAAUCUCAAUUUGAAUUUAAUCUUCAAUUUUUUACAUAUGUGACAUACAUCAAUAUUUUCUAGUGCACACAUUGUCAAUAUAAAAGGGUAAUAUGCAUCUUUCUAAGGUAGAAGUGAACAUAAUGUGAAAAAAUGCAUUAUAAGUUUCCUAAGCAAAAAGAAGACGAUUUUAACACUCUAUUAAAAGUUUUAGGCAUUAUACAUUUUUACAAAAAACUAAUCCCAAUUGCAAGUUCAAGUAGCUAGUAAUGGUAAAACAUGAAGAGAGAAACAAUCAUCGGUUGGGCUGAAAUAAUAAGUUUAGUCCAGUCAAAAACAAAAUAUGGCAUCAAUGGAGCUCAUUCAACAAAGUAUUAAGAGCAUCUAAAGUGGAAUAAUCCCGCCUGCUAAUUGAGGGAAACAUGAUGCUUCUUUUCAUUAAAAAGGUCAAAGAGUGUAGUGGUGCAUCUUUUGGGUCUGGAUGCUCACCUUCAACUCCAUAGAAGUUCGGUUGGGCUUCUCCCUCCUCUCGUAGUAAAGGAGUAGAGUAGAUUAUUCACGUUAGACAAAAAAAAAUCUAAAAUGGGACAAUAUUAUUUACUAAGUAAGCCAAAUCAUGGUAAUUAAUAAUGCAAUGGUGAUUAACAAUAAGUGACAAAUUUUGCUUAAAAAAAAGCCUAAAUAGUAGGCAACAAUAGGAAAAGUAUUGGCACAUGACAUGCGUUGUUGACAACAUAGGAAGCACCUCUAAUAACAUACCAAACACCAAAGCCAGACCUGUAGGAAUCAAAAGUUUCAAUUUGUCCCUUCAUACAAUGUAACUAAAUUUUUGAUUAAUUUGUCCUUAUUAAUAAGACAGCUAUUGGACUAAUUUGUCCCUAUUUAAAAAGCAAAACUAGAGAAAAGAGUCCGUUUGGGGUUAUGGUAGUUUAUUGAAAAGUGCUUCGUGAAAAAAGCUUUUAAUAAAAGUACUUAUUAAGUGCUUUUAAAUAUAUUGUUUAGAUACAUAGUUCAAUGAGUACUUAAUGUAUUGGAUAAUAUGUAAUUUGAAAAUUUUAAAUGUAUUUAUCUCUUUAUUUAGCUCAUAAGAUAGGAUAAAAUUAUUAAAUUUAAUCUUUUAUUUUUUAAAAUACAAAAGCUAUUCUAAGAGCAUCAAAUUUGAGCUUUCACUAAAAGCACUUUUAAUACCAAAAGUUCUAUUCCUAAUUUUAUGAAAUGAUAUUUAUCAAACACCUCAAAAGUACUUUUACUACCUAAAAGUGUUUUUUUAUGAAAAAUACCGCAACUUCAAAUGGGGCUAAAGCAAAACAUGAGUUUGGACUAGUUUACUCCUACUAAUUAAUUAUAUAACCAUAUUUUCCUAAUAAAUUUUGGUUUAUAAAAAGGUAGAAAUAUAAAUUAAGACUUGUGAACCAGAGAUUUGGUGAGUUUGAACCCGGUCCAAAAUAAAAAAAAAAUCUACAUGUUGGCUUUAGGCUAAACUGCACAAAGCUCACAUAUGUAAGGGCUCGAUCUCAAUCUAUUUGUUAAUAUCGAGUUCGGGUUGAUAUUGGACUAAUUUAGAUUUAACAAGUUUACAUUUUAUAUAUAUAAGCUUGCCUACAUUGCUGCCCAGGUUAUGUGAUUUUAUUGAGAAUGUAAGAUUAAUAAUGAGGGAUAGAUUGAGGAGGAUUCUAAAAUAGAAAUGAUCAAGAAUAAAGUACUUGGACAAACUUUAAAUAGUUGGAAAUUCAAUACACUAUAUAUUUGACUCCAUGAAUUGUUGGACAUACUUUUAGUACCAUAAAAAAACCCUUUCCUAGUAAAUACAUGAAAUGGUAAAUUCUUUUCUAUUUAUUUUAUGAAAGCUAAUUCAUAGUUUUGCUUCAUCAACCACUUUCCUUGUUCUAAACUCAUCCACCAAUGAGAUCACAAGUAUAGAGAAAACAUAAUUAAAAUCUCACACUCUAGAUGUGUUAAGUAUGCUAAGAAUGAAAACGACAUAAAAGUCUGCAAAUAGACUUUAAUAUUAACACUUAAAACCUGAAGGAGAUAAGAAAGCAUCACAAUCUAAGUUUGGAUAUGAAUUAGAUAACACCUCUAAGUUUCUGAGUUGUUAAUUUCUUGUACAAGUAGCUUGGAAAUAUUUCAUAACUGGCAACAUGUAGAAUAAAAUAUUUUGAACCUUGUAACUCCAAUCUUCCAUUAUGUUAACAGCUUUGACUGUGCACCUUAUAGUUUAUCACACAAGCAUUUUGCGAACAAAUAUGAAUAUAUACCAAAAUUUUUAGCACUUCAAAGCAAAUAAUUGAAAGAUCCACAGACUAUCAAAGUGUGGUAAAAAGUAGCUUUGUUUUAUUAAUCAAUUGUAAAUUCAAAAUUCAUAUAUUAUCUUCAACUUUCUUCAGGUACAGAAAGUAACUAUAAUUCCGUCAUCAUUGUCCAAAAAGUCCAACUACAGUAGUGAAAUAAUUCCGAAUAUUGGCAAACACUUGCAUCUAGAUGCAAAAAUUAGCAAUGUCAAAUAUUAGCAAACAACUGCAUCCUGAUGGAAAAAUCAGCAAUAUCAUUCACAAAAGCCUAUGACUUACAUACUUUACAUUAUCACUUGGUGAUAUUUGGAUGAACGUUCAGAAGGCACAUGUAUCAACACUAUCCACUUCAAUAUCAUAUCAUGCUCUUUUUCCUAUUUCCCCAAGCAUCAAUCAAAUUUAUAAACAAAUUGAUUGAGUGUAAAUGCCUCCUAUUACCAAUAGAAAAGGGAUAUCAAUCUACCUAGAGGCGAAAAUAAUAGAUAGCAAUCUUUACCUAUUUGCCCUAUUUCAGGCUUCCAAAUGCCUAAAGCAAACCUCUUUCGAGGUUUUCAAUUUCUCUGUCCUAGCCUUCGGUGCAUAAACCAUAGCAAUUAAGUUGGUUUCUCUUAACGCUAAAUACAUGAAAACUUCAUCAACCUUAAUUUGAAGAAAAAUCAAGUAGAAAUUCUAACAAAAUAUCGUCACAAAACCAAAUUUGCUCACAAACAAGAGGGAAAAAGAAAUUUUUGAAAAGUUCGAGAACUAUGUUAGCGUACCUCAUCCGUAUCCCUUAUCUUGUUAACUAUACAAUGAAGAUAGAAUUAGUCUUUGUGUUCAUAUAUAAAACUAGUUGUACAAUAAUACUCUAGUACGUCUAGGAGAAUUAGUCUAGGUGUGUGCUACUUAGACUAGGAGUCCGCUACUUAUUCUUUAUAUAAACUUUCGGUUGUACCAGAGCACUAACUGGUUUUUUCAAUGAAUAAAAUUACCGUUUCUUGUCAUGGUAUCAGAGCAAUGAUCCUUCUUGCUCUACUCUUCAUAUUUUGAUUCUCUUUUGUGUUUCUUCUUGUUAUGUUCUUGGAAUAAUGGCGGAGCAAAUCGAAUCACAGAAUCUAGGAUAUUUCUCGAUUGGUGAUUUGUUCUGUGAUCCAAGCUCCCCGUAUUUUUGACCUCUGCCGAUUACACCAAUGCUUCGUUAGUCCCAAUGUUGCUUGACAAUGACAAUUAUCAACAGUGGAAACGAAAUAUUUUGAAUUCUUUGAGAAGCAAAAAUAAAAUCCCAUUUGUGAAUGGAGAAUUGCCUCAAUCGAAAGUUUGGAAGCCGUGAAGCAUUGUUUUGGAGUAAAUGUGAUGGGCUUGUUCUUUCGUGACUUAUCAAUUCAAUUAGUCCGGAUCUGCAUGAUUCAAUCACUUAUCAUGACUCGGCUAGGGAGCUUUGGGUGGAUUUGGAAUAACGUUUUGGUCAAAGCAAUGAACCCAAAAUCUAUGUAAUAAGAAAGGACAUUGCUUUGUCUACUUAAGGAACAGCUUCGGUGACCACUUUUUACUCGAAACUUAAGGUCUUAUGGGAUGAGUUGAGUGCCUAUUCAAAACCUUCAAAUUGCUCAUGUGGGGGAUUGAAAGCAUGGCUGGCUGAAAGGGACAAUGAGCGCUUACACCAAUUUUUGAUGGGAUUGGAUGAAAAAUUUCAAACCAUUUGAUUCACAUAUUGGCAACUGAGCCUCUCCCUUCACUUAAUCGUAUAUUUAACAUGGUUAAGACGAAAGAGAAGCAACUGAGUCUUCUUGGUCCACAAGAUUCUGAUGGGGCAGGAGCUUUCUAUGUUCAGCAGCAGCAGCCACGAUCUAGUUCUGUUAGACGGCAACCAUCUCAAUACAAUUUUGAGAUGCUCCAUGUCCGGCGAAAGCAAGGCCAACCACGUCAGAAUGGAAGUCAAUCUUCGAAACAGCCCAAAUUACGAUGUGAUCAUUGUAAUAAGGCUGACCAUACAAUGGAUAGGUGUUGGGAGAUUAUAGGGUAUCCAAAUAAUUGGCAAUCUUCAAGGGAAAAUCCCAUCGCUGCAAAUGUGUGCUCGGAUGAUACAACAAAUUCUUCAAUUUCCACUACUUCAGUUAAUGGUUUGACAGCUGCACAGUAUGAGUAACUCUUGUCAUUAUUGAAUAGUGACAAAAAUGCUGGCUCGGUUAAUUUUGCUGGUAACGUAACCCAUCUUUUAACUCCAAAUUCCUCAUCCUCUUGCUGUACUUGGCUACUAGACACAGGUGCUACUCGUCACUUUAUAGGUAAUAAAACUUGCUUGUUUGACCUUGUUAAAUCAAGAAAAUCCACUAAUAUAUUCCUACCUGAUGGCACUGUGAAACAACUCUGCGAAUAUGGUAGUCAUCAUUUGAACUCCCUGAUUGCUUUGCAUAAUAUUUUGCAUGCUCCGAGUUUUCACUGUAAUCUUAUUUCUGUCAGUCGUCUCACCAACGAACACAAUUGUGUUGCCCUAUUUUUUUCCUGAUUUUUGUGUUGUCCAGAACCUACGCUCGAGGAAAUUGAUUGGGGUAGGUAAGGAAUGGGAUGGUCUUUACUACUUCACCACAGACUAUGCUGAGUCACGUCAUGGCAAAGCUAAUACGGUUGCAGAAUCCGCUAUUCUUUGGCAUCAAAGGUUAGGACAUCCUUCACGUGACCGGUUGGCGUCAAUACCCGACUUUUCUCAUAUUCGUUCUGAUAAAAUUUGCCAAAAAUGUACUGUGUGCCCUUUGGCAAAAGCUUCUAGACAAGUUUUUUCUCCAAGCAUUCAUAAAUCUGUGAUUUCUUUUCAUUUGGUUCAUAUUGAUAUAUGGGGACCCUAUCAAACACCUUCAAGUUCUGGGGUUCAUUUUUUCUUAACUCUUGUGGAUGACUGUACUAGAACAGUUUGGACAUAUUUAUUAAAACACAAGAAUGAAGCUUGUCAUGUUUUUCAAAAUUUUUAUUCUUUGAUUCAAACUCAAUUUGGAUUUCAAAUUAAACAAGUCAGAAGCGAUAAUGCACUAGAACUUAUUGAAGAUGCCAUGGCAAUAUUCUUUAGAAAUAAAGGGAUUGUUAAUCAAACUUAUGCUAGUACACCUCAACAAAAUGGGGUUAUCGAAAGAAAAUAUAGAGACAUCCUUAAUAUGGCUCGUGCUCUUAGGUUUCAAAGUAACUUGACCAUUAAAUUUUGGGGGGAACGUGUUUUAACUGCUACAUAUAUUCUCAAUCGACUCCCCACAUUAGCACUUGGAGGUAAAACCCCUUUUGAAUUUUUUUUUUUGGCAAGCAACAAAAGUAUAAUCAUUUUAGAGUAUUUGGUUGUUUGUGUUAUGCUGUUAAUCCUCUACAACUUUUGGACAAGUUCAAACCCAGGUCAAGGCCAUGUGUGUUUGUAGGCUACCCUCAAAAUAAAAAGGGUUUCAAAGUUUAUGAUUUAGAGACAAAAAAAAAAUUUUUUUCCUGUGAUGUACGCUUUCAUGAAACCUUUUUUCCUUUCAAAAUUCCUUCUAGUACAUCAUCUUUGAUGCUGUCUUCCGCCUUAAGACCUAACACUCCUUCACUUGUUCUUGAUAAUGAUGAUCAAUGUGUUGAUUCUCUUUAUAAUUAUGGUCCUAAAGUGCAUAAUUUCGAUGCUACUCUUUUCUCAAGUCCCAACCAUGAGCUCUCUACUACGGAUAAUCUUGUUGAAGAGAUUCAGACUUCUCCACCACACCAAGAACAGCGGAUCUGAAGACCACCUGCUUACCUAAAAGACUAUGUCUAUGAUUAUUCUAGUAGUUCUUGCCACUCCAAUUCAGUUUCCACUUCCAGAGCAUAAGGUACUCCCUAUCCUCUUAAUUCUUAUCUCUCCAAUCAUCGCUUUUCUCCAUCCCGUCAAGCUUUUCUUACAGCUUUAUUAACCGAGAUUGAGCCUUCUACUUACUCUGCAGCUAGUCAAGAUGAAAAGUAGAGGUCUAUCAUGCAAAUUGAACUUGAUGCCUUAGUUGCAAAUCAUACAUGGGAUCUUGCACUUUUGCCGAUAGUAAAGAAAGCAAAUUGUUGUAAAUGGGUGUAUAAAAUUAAAUAUAAAUCAGAUGGUACUGUGAAGCAUUAUAAAGCUUGGUUAGUAGCCAAAGGAUAUACCCAAGAGGAGGGACUGGAUUAUAUUGAACAUUUUCUCCUGUAGCAAAGCUAACUACAGUGCGGUGUUUAAUGGCUCUUGCUGCGGCUAAAAAUUGGGAAUUAUAUCAAUUUGAUGUGAAUAAUGCCUUUCUCCAUAGUGAUUUACAUGAGAAAAUAUACAUGAUCCCUCCCCCUGGAUAUUUACCAUCUGAUGACAAGAGGGUUUGUCGACUUCGCAAAUCUCUUUAUGGUCUUAAACAGGCAUCCAGGGAGUGGUUUUCUAAAUUAACUCUUGCUCUCAAACAAUAUGAUUUUAUUCAGUCUCAAGUAGAUACUACUUUAUUUACGCUGAAGACUAAUACCAAUUUUCUUGCAGUUUUGGUGUAUGUCGAUGAUAUGAUAAUUGCAGGAAAUGAUUCCUUUCAAUGCCAAAAUUUUAAACAAUUCUUGCAUGGAUAGUUCUAUCUGAAAGAUCUUGGCCCCCUUAAAUUCUUUCUCGGUCUUGAAGUUGCCAGGAAUCCUGAAGGAAUAUUUUUGAGUUAGCGGAAGUAUGCUCUAGAUAUUUUAACAGAUACUGGUCUCAGUAGUGCAAAACAUAGUUCGAUUCCAAUGUCUCAACAACACCAAUUGGGCUUUCAACCAAUAUGUCCUUGGCUGAUCCCUCGUUUUAUUGUCGUCUUGUGGGUCGACUUUUGUAUCGCACUAUCACACGACCAGAUAUUCUGUAUGCUGUCAAUAUUUUGAGUUAGUACAUGCAUUCCCCUACAUUAGAUCAUCAUGAUACAGCAAUGAAGGUUGUUCGAUACAUUAAGAAUUCUCCAAGCUAGAGAUUAUUUUUUCCUUCUUAGAACAAUUUCCAACUCACAGGUUAUUGUGAUGCUGAUUGGGGUGCUUGUCCUACGACGCGACGCUCUAUCACGGGUUAUUAUAUUUCUCUUGGGAAUGUGCCUAUCUCCUGGUGUACUAAGAAACAACCAACUGUGAGCUGCUCAUCUGCUGAAGCCGAAUAUCGUGCCAUGGCCGGUACCACUAGUGAAUUGUAAUGGUUAUGGGGUUUAUUAUUUGAUCUCACCAUUCUUCAUUCGCAACCGAUACGUCUGUUUUGUGACAACCAAGCUGCACUUCAUAUCGCUGCCAAUCCUGUCUUCCACGAGCGUACCAAACAUAUUGAGAUGGAUUGUCACUUUGUUCGUGAACGGAUUCAGUCCAAUGAGCUUUGUACCUAUUUCAUUCGUUCAGAGGAUCAACCUGCUGACUUGUUCACCAAAGCGCUUGGUUUUAGUUCUUUUCAACGAUUGUUACGCAAGCUUGGUGUUUCGUUCCUCCACAACGAUUGUUACGCAAGCUUGAGAGGGGCUGUUAGCGUACCUUAUCCGUAUCCCUUAUCUUGUUAACUAUACAAUGAAGAUAGAAUUAGUCUUUGUGUUUGUAUAUAAAACUAGUUGUACAAUAAUAGUCCAGUAUGUCUAGGAGAAUUAGUCUAGGAGUCUGCUACUUAGACUAGGAGUCCGUUACUUAUUCUUUAUAUAAACUUUCGAUUGUACCAGAGCACUAACAAGUUUUUUCAAUGAAUAAGAUUACUAUUUCUUGUCAAACUAUUAGACGAUAUUUCAAAAGGAAAUAUUCAAGAACUAUGAACAUGAAAAACCUCAAAAUAUUAAGGCAUACGAUGAAGUUGAAGCAGUGUAGGAGGGGGAAAAUAAUUUUUAGCAAUAAUCCGGACAAAAGUGAGCAGAGAUACCCUAUUUUUAGCAAUAAUUUAUGCAUUAUUUUUCUUAUUUAUUCUUGACAUGUUUAACUCUUAAUGCUUUUGCAGAACAUGAUUAUUCACAAAAAACUGAGUUGAGAUCCGAUUUUCUUCUCUCUGCCAUUUAAUGCGUCCGACAUGUAUAUGCAUAUCAUCGAGGAGCUACAAAGAUCUUUUGGAUGAAUUAUUUCCAUCAGUGUUUCCUAAAUCGUUAUUUGCCAUGUACUGUAGCACCAAAAUAAUUGAGGUACAUCAGCUUGCAUUACCCUUUGGUGUCGCUUAUAUGCAAAUUUGCCAAUUGCUUGUGCAUCAGCUUGGUAAUAUAUUUGAGCCAGUAUUUCAUGUUUGCUGAUUAUUGUCUUACGUGCAUCUCAGAUAUUGUCACAGAAGAUAAAGGAUCUAAGAAAGGACUCAACUUUGCUCCACAAAUUAAUUGGUUUUGAGGUGAUUUUGUCUAAAGAUGCAAAGCAUCCAAGUGAUCCUGCCACAGAAUACUUCAUACAAGCACACACAACUGCUCGUUUCGAGAUCGCCGCAAUUAUAUUGAAUUAAAAGUAUAAUGUCUACAAACACAGCGUUACAUUGUAGGCUUGAGUAGUAUUGCAUGAUUUUACAGCAUUGGUGUGUGUGUUGUACUAUUUAAUGUGUGUUCUGCAAUACACUGAUGAUUAAACUUUUCUUUUUGUAAAAGAUUAAUCUAUAAAGUUGUACUACUGAUAACUUGAUGAUUGAUGAUGAUUAAAGAGGGACUAUCUUUAGAUGCUUUGAAGCGCUUAUAAGAUUGGUGGUAACCAUUCCUGUUUAUAGUAAAACAGGAAUGACUUCUUUGAUAAUGAUAUCCUCCUCUUUAGCUUCCUUUAUAAUCUCUCUGCCUUAGUGUGGGAAACUAAGGAACAUAUGGUGUGACAGCCCCACUUCUUCCUAAGACGUACCAAAAGGGUGAGCGAACUGCCUGCUCAACUCUCGCCAGAACUACUAGGAUGGUUAUACACAAACUAAAACGUUCCGAAAUAUAUUAGUACGCUUAAACGAUUCAACAACCACAAAACGGAAAUGAAAAUCAAAACUGAAGGAUGAAUAGUGACUGCCACGUCACAAUCCGGCCGGAUAUCCGGUCGGAUUCCUGGCCAGAUUGGAGGUAGUAGCUAACCCAAAACGGAUCUAAAAUUCCCUGUCAAUCACUGGUCGACUAUCCGGCCAAGAACUGGUCGGAUUUGGGACGGAUUCCCCUGCAGAAAUUCCAGCCAAAAUUUUUACUUCUUCGUUCAAAUUUCAAACUGUUCGAAACCCAAUCAAGAACAAAUAACUUCAUAUAACCCUAGGAAAAGAACAUUUCCAAGGCAAAAAUAACACAUGAACAUGAUUAGCACUUUUAUAUAUACAUGUUUGUACAUAUACAACUCCAAAAGGAAAAUGUUCGGAUCAAAAUACAUUUAGGGUUUUUCAACUAUCGAGGAGCUAUACGGACGAACAAAAGAAUAUCUAACUAGCUCAACUCGCUCCUAAAAAUCAUGAAUUCCAAAAGUGGUUCCUGUAAGAAAAACAAAGAUAACGAGGAGGGGGUGAGUUUACACUCAAUGAGGUACCAAACAUAUAGCAAUAAAAUCAUGACAUUUCACGUUUAACCAAUCAGAUACACAUGCCAGAUAUAAGGUAAAGCAGUUAGAUACAGCGAUUCAAAUAGGAAGGAUACAGGUGGCUCACAGGAGCCAGAUUUCCAUUACAGUACUUGAUCCAAACCCAUUGACUCUCCGUCAACGUCUAUAGAACCAACCUGUUCGUAGACCCUACUUUAUGCCAAGAUCCGUCCACCAAACAUACCCAUUACAGGGCCCGAACACCUCAACAGAAAUAGAAGUGGUAAUACUCGAGUAUACCAGAAUUAAGAGUCUCAAUACCCAAAGAUUUCCAAAACAUACCAUUGUGGUUCGUUAUGUCAUCGACCUGGCCCUUGCCGGCUCGACUCGAGUAACUAGCCACAGGUUUUAAGUUCAGAGAUCACAACAGAUCGUUGGAUACAAGUCUCCAACUGACGUCAGAUUAAGCACAGAUAACAGAGUUAGAUGUACACAGUAAUAGGCAGACAAAUAAAAGAACGAGUGUGAUAAAGUACAUCAUCGUCUCAAACAGAUUAAACAGAGAGUACAGUCAUUCAAAUCGCAGAUUGCAUGUACGAAACCAAGUUAAGCAACAAUGAAGGGAGCAGUACACUCACUAGUUCUAACAAACCACUUCAACGUUUUCACUCCUAAGUAGGGCUUUGAUCCCCGUGAAAUCCUAAGAAUAACCAAAGUAAAACAAUUGAAGUUUUCACAUCCAAAAUCGAGUAAAUGGAAUGCACAAGUGAGGCUCGACUACUAGUCGUAUGCCUAUACAAAUGACUAUAAUUACAAGAGAUAAAGGUGUGGUUUCGGAGUAAAACGAUAGCGGUUAGUUCUACAACAUGCACAACUCCCAAAAUCCUACAUUUCUAACAACAUUAACUCACACUUGAAGGAACCAAAUGACUUAACAAUUGGACAGCACCUCCCCUUAAAUUCUCUAUUUUUCCAUUCUACAAUCAAUACAAAUUCAUCUCAAAUCAAUCACAUACAAAUCAUAGGCUAUAAAACACACCUUUCGGCAUAAUAAGCACAACUGAAGCUACACUUAUCAGAUUGAAACGAAUCUUAUGGCGUUUCGAAGCCAAGACAUAUACCUAUAGUUCUUAUGAAGACCUCCAAAGCUAAAUCAUGCAUUUUCAUAGUCAAAAAUCGAAAUCUCAGAGAGGACAGAAAACUGUCUGUGAAAUAAGGCUUGUGGCAGUCCAGGGAAUUUCAGUCAUUUAACAAGAUGCAGUGCUCCGAUUGAGCUGAAAUUUUACUAGUAGCUAGUUAACUCAAUUAUCAACAACUUUCAUGUUUUGAGCAAGGGCUAAUUCGGCCUCUCUCAAGGACGAACAUGCAGUACAAAAACAGGGCAGAUUGAAAUCCUAAAACUGAAAUUUCCGCACAAAUUCUGAAAUUUUCCGCAAACAACCACAACUAACACACAAAAUCUCCAUUUCACACCAUAUCAAGCUAUCAUUCCAUGCCCAUCCCACAAUUAUCAUAUAAAAUCAGAAAAUUCACUUAUAAAUCAGAAAUUUAUCAAACUCUAUUUAAAAUCAUGAAAUCUUCCAUAAAGUAGCAUCUAUAACAAUUAUAAACCACUAAUUACCAAUUAAUUGAAGUAAAGAGGAAGUUCUUGAAAAAAUAUCUUAAAACCCAAAGAAAAAUGAUAGUUUUGUGCUUUCCUUUUCGAAACAACUCCACCAACCUCCUUAAUCCUUCAUAGCAAGAAGUUUCUAUGGAGUAAUUUGAGAUACUAAUGGUUGGAACUUAAGAUUUGGGCUUGGAUUUGAAGAAACAGGAUGAAACUUUCCUCUCUUUUCCUCUCCUCAAUGGCCGGCCAAGAUGGAGCAAAUAAGAUGAUUUUUGGGUCAAAUUUGAUAUUUAGUAAAGUUGGGUUAAAGUCCAACAUCCAUUCAUGUCGCGACACCUAGCACCCUUUUAAUUCCAAACCUAUCUUCUUGUCUCUCCAUGGUUAAUCUAUCUAGUUAACUUCUAAUUGUCUCCUAGUACCUUGUAAAAUAAUAUCUCUUAAUAUAAAACUUCACUUACUCGCCAAAAUUUUUAUCGCACUUAGCGCACUAGCGGGUCCCACGUCUACAACGUACUUCAAACUUAUCAUGAACUAAUUUAUACUGUGAAAAUGAUUUAAAACCUAUACUCACUUAUAAAAAUCCCUAGAAAAUCAAUAUGAUAGGGUUUUAAUGAAGAAAAUACAUGCGAUAAAAUAAAAUAAAAUAUUAUGAAAUAAUGAAACUUUACGGGUCCUCACACUCUCUCCCCCUUAAAGAAAUUUCGUUUUCGAAAUUUUUUCUUAUGAACGGGAUCUAUCAAAAUCUAAGGUAACCAACGGAUCGUACCUUCUACGUCCUCAGGCGAGUCAGGAACCUGAUAGUGCUCUAGAGAAUACACCUGAGUCGGUGCCUUCGAUCUAGUCCCUUCCCCUUUCGACUCUCCAGGCUUAGUCUUAGUUGGUUGUUGGGUCCUUUUUCCUUCGCGCAGUCGAGUUGGAUAGUUAGCAAUCCGAUGAUCAGCGCUUCCACAACGCAGGCAUUUUCCCUUUUUCUUCCAACAUUUCGCCUCUAUAUGAUUUGGCCCUCCGCAAUAUCCACAAGGACCACGAGUAGCAGAGACCGAUCCUUCCUGCGACACACCACUUGACACCCCCGGUAGUCGUACUCCCCCGUUUCUCUUUCCAAUUUUAGGGGAUGUACUUUUAUCCUCUUGCUUUGAGCUACUUCCAGGAAAUCCCCUUUUCUUGGAUUUGAAGUUUCUAACUUGUAACCUUGCAGUUUCAACUCGCUGGGCCUUCUCCACCGCAUCACAAAAGGCACUAAGUUGGGCUAACGCCAGGUGCUUCUGAAUCUCAGCAUUUAAUCCCUGGAUAAAACGCCUUAUCAGUUUUUGUUCGGUUACAAUCAGUUCGGAGGCAAACUUAGAUAACCGAGUAAAUUGACUCUCAUACUCGACUACGGUCUGAGUUCCUUGGCGAAGUUGAAUGAAUUCAUCUUCCUUCUUUUCUUGGAUCAGAGGAGGAAAAAACUUGGCGUUGAAUUCCCUCAUGAAGUUCGCCCAUGUCCUCGGGGUUUGUUCUCUUUCCCAUUUCAUUUGAAUUACAUUCCACCAAGAACGGGCGGCUCCCUUCAGUUGGAAGACAGCGAACGUGACUUGCCUCUCUUCGGUAUAGUGUAAAACCGCAAAUAUAUCUAUCAUUUUCUCCAAUCACCUUUCGACCACAUUUAGAUCAGAUCCUCCAAGAAAUUUCGGUGGGGAGAACUUUUUAAAUCUUUCAAGGGCUCUAUCCUCGCCCUCUACAUGGUUACCAGGGUUUUCAGGUUGAGGAUUAGGGUUUUGACCCUGGUGUUCCACUACAUGGGCUAGCAGAUCAGUCAUACGCUGGAUAGCAGCGGCUACUUGGGCAUUAGGGUCAAUUCUAGGCCCAGGAUUUGGUUCAAGCGUGGGUUCUCGAUUACCCAUUUCAGUCGAAAGUUGCUUACGUCCGUGUCCACGACCACGUCCACGACGAGUACCCUCAAUUGGUCUAAGCAAUCUAGGAUCGAAGCGUGAAUGUAACAUUAAAAUAAUGAUAUGCAUGAAUAAGUAACAAGAGAUACACACAGAUCAAAAGGCAUAUACCUGUCUAACACAACUUUAUCAAACAAUUCACACAGUAGCAGUCAGUUAGAUACAAACAAAAGGGAUCCAAGAAGGUAACGGGGUCAUCAAAAGUACUAUAUACCAUCCAGGCCAAAGGUACAAAAGCAAUUAACGAAAAGCUUUCCCUCUCUAGAGCUUCGUCCAUAAUCUACGAAAAUAACACAAUUUAUAUCUUAAUCAAGAUUAAUCACACCUAAUGAUACCCGAACAAAUCACACGAACUCCCAUAGAAUCACAUUCUAUUUCGCCCAAGUCUCUUCUAACCUAAGCUCUCAUCUCUUUAGUAGCCGGAUACAAGAAUCUCAAAUAAGAUAAUUCACAACUCGAGUCGGCCGGUCCCAAGCGUAAAUCAUCCAUAUUAAAGAUUCCUACCCGACAUACAUAUCUAUCUUCCUCAAAUUCCAUGAUAAAGAUUUUUACACUUAUAACACACACGGUUCAUAACUUAUCCCCAAGGAAAACACUUAAUCCUUUAAACACAUUCACAAAGUAGGACCAUAACACCACUUGGCCCAAGUUCACUCAGUGCAGAGACCACGUAAAGCAGCUCUGAUACCAACUGUGACAGCCCCACUUGCCCUUAAUGCAUACCAAAGGGGUGAGCAAACUGCCUGCCCAACUCUCGCCAGGACUACUAACACGGUUAUACAUAAACUAAAACGUUCCGAAAUAUAUUAGCGCGCUCAAACGAUUCAACAAUCAUGAAACGGAAACGAAAAUCAAAACUGAAGGAUGAAUAGUGACUACCACGUUAUAAUCCGGCCUGGAUUGGAGGCAGUAGCCAAGCCAAAAUGGAUCCAAAAUUCCCUGUCAAUCCGGCUAGCUAUCCGGCCAAGAACUGACCAGAUUUGCAGCCCGAUUUCCCUGCAGAAAUUCCCGCCAAAAUUUUUACUUCUUCGUUCAAAUUUCGAAACUGUCCGAAACCCAAUCAAGAACAAAUAACUUCAUAUAACCCUAGGAAAAGAACAUUUCCAACGCAAAAAUAACACAUGAACAUGAUUAGCACUUUUAUAUAUACAUGUUUGUACAUAUACAACUCCAAAAGGAAAACGUUCGGAUCAAAAUACAUUUAGGGCUUUCCAACUAUCGAGAAGCUAUACAGACGAACAAAAGAAUAUCUAACUAGCUCAACUCGCUCCCAAAAAUCAUGAUUUCCAAAAGUGGUUCUUGUAAGGAAAACAAAGAUAACGAGGAGGGGGUGAGCCUAUGCUCAAUGAGGUACCAAACAUAUAGCAAUAAAAUCAUGAAAUUUCACGUUUAAUCAAUCAGAUACACAUGCCAGAUAUAAGGUAAAGCAGUUAGACAUAGUGAUUCAAAUAGGAAGGAUACAGGUGGCUCUCAGGAGCCAAAUUUCCAUUGGAGUACUUGAUCCAAAUCCAUUGACUCUUCAUCAACGUAUAUAGAACCAACAUGUCCGUAGACCCCACUUUACGCCAAGUUCCGUCUACUAAACAUACUUCUUACCGGGCCCGAACACCUCAACAGAAAUAGAAGUAGUAAUACUCGAGUAUACUGGAAUCAAGAGUCUCAAUACCCAAAAGAUUCCCAGAACAGACCACCGUGGUUCGUUAUCUCAUCGACCUGGCCCUUACCGGCUCGACUCGAGUAACUAGCCACAGGUUUUGAGCUCAGAAAUCACAACAGAUCGCUGGAUAGAAGUCUCCAACCGAUGUCAGAUUAAGCACAGAUAACAGAGUUAGAUGUACACAGUAAUAGGCAGACAAAUAAGAGAACGAGUGUGAUAAAUUAACCCUCGUCUCAAACAGAUUAAACAGAGAGUACAGUCAUUCAAAUCACAGAUUGCAUAUACAGAAACCAAGUUAAGCAACAAUGAAGGGAGUGGUACACUCACCAGUUCUAACAAACCACUUCAACGUUUUCACUCCCAAGUAGGGCUUUGAUCCCCGUGAAAUCCUAAGAAUAACCAAAGUAAAACAAUUGAAAUUUUCACAUCCAAAAUCGAGUAAACGGAAUGCACAAGUGAGGCUCGACUACUAGUCGUAUGCCUAUACAAAUGACAACAAUUACAAGAGAUAAAGGUGUGGUUUCGAAGUAAAACGAUAGCGGUUAGUUUUGCGGUUAGUUCUACAACAUGCACAACUCCCAAAACCCUACAUUUCUAACAACAUUAACUCACACUUGAAGGAACCAAAUGACUUAACAAUUGGACAACACCUCCCCUUAAAUUCUCUAUUUUUCCAUCCUACAAUCAACACCAAUUCAUCUCAAAUCAACCACAUACAAAUCAUAGGCUAUAAAACACACCUUUCGGCAUAAUAAGCACAACUGAAACUACACUUAUCAGAUUGAAAUGAAUCUUAUGGCGUUUCAAAGCCAAGACAUAUACCUACAGUUUUUAUGAAAACCUCCAAAGCCAAAUCAUGUAUUUUCAUAGUCAAAAAUCGAAAUCUUAGAGAGGACAGAAAACUGCCCGUGAAAUAAGGUUUAUGGCAGUCCAGGGUAUUUCGGUCAUUUCACAAGUUACAGUGCUCCGAUUGAGCUGAAAUUUUACCAGUAGCUAGCUAACUCAAUUACCAACAACUUUCAUGUUUUUGGCAAGGGCUAAUUCGGCCUCUCUCAAGGACGAACAUGCAGCGCAAAAACAGGGCAGAUUGAAAUCCUAAAACUGAAAUUUCCGCACAAAUUCUGAAAUUUUCCACAAACAACCACAACUAACACACAAAAGCUCCAUUUCACACCAUAUCAAGCUAUCAUUCCAUGCCAACCUACAAUUAUCAUAUAAAAUCAGAAAAUUUACUAAUAAAUUAGAAAUUUAUCAAACUCUAUUUAAAAUCAUGAAAUCUUCCACAAAGUAGCAUCUACAACAACUAUAAGCCACUAAUUACCAAUUAAUUGAAGUAAAGAGGAAGUUGUUAACAAAAUACCUUAAAAUCCAAAGAAAAAUGAUAGUUUAGUGCUUUCCUUUUCAAAACAACUCCACCAACCUCCUUAAUCCUUCCUAGCAAGAAGUUUCUAUGGUGUAAUUUGAGAUACUAAUGGUUGGAACUCAAGAUUUGGGCUUGGAUUUAAAGAAACAGGAUGAAACUUUCCUCUCUUUUCCUCUCCUCAAUGGCCGGCCAAGAUGGAGCAAAUGAAGAUGAUUUUUGGGUCAAAUUUGAUAUUUAGUAAAGUUGGGGAAUAGUGGUCAAAGUCUAACACCCAUUCAUGUCGCGACACCUAGCACCCUUUUAAUUCCAAACCUUUCUUGUCUCUCCAUGGUUAAUCUAUCUAACUAACUUCUAAUUGUCUCCUAGCACCUUGUAAAAUAAUAUCUCUUAAUACAAAACUUCACUUACUCGCCAAAAUUUUUAUCGCACUUAGCGCACUAGCGGGUCCCAUGUCUACAACGCACUUCAAACUUAUCAUAAACUAAUUUAUACUGUGAAAAUGAUUUAAAACCUAUACUCACUUAUAAAAAUCCCUGAAAAAUCAAUAUAAUAGGGUUUAAUGAAGAAAAUGCAUGUGAUAAAAUAAAAUAAAAUAUUAUGAAAUAAAGAAAAUUUACUGGUUCUCACAUAUGGCGCUAGUAAUUCUUUUUUUUUUUUUUUUGAUAAGAAAGGUCAUUUCAUUCAAACAAAUCUACACUAAUGGCAGAAAAUAUAUUAAACAAAUGCGACACAGAUACAUAUAGAGAAGUAAAAUCAAUCAAUAUAACAGAUCUAUAUGUUAGUAAUUCUUAGUCUAGCAUGAUGAAGUCAGAUUGCUCUUUGAAUCUAAAUCCACGCAUUGCUGCCCUUACGAUGCACUUUUUAGAAAUGAUUUCAAUCCCUUCGCUGUCAUUUUGAGACUUGGAGUUCUCUUCAAUUUCAUAAAUUAAUCAUGAAAAUAACCUUUCAAGAAAGUUAAAUCCAACUCUAAUUAAUAGGAUUUCAAUGUGUUUGCCUUAAAAUUAAACUAACAACAACGCUAAUUAAUUGCGCUAAAAACUAAGUAAAGUCCAACAAAAAUUCAAUUCUAAAUCCAAUGCCACCAGAUAAAGGCACUUGCAAUUAUAUAAUUAGUGUGUUGCUACAUAUUUUUUGACAUUAUGUGUUCAUGGUAUGCACUUAGGAGGAGCAUUAAUAGACAAAUCAUAUUAAGUUGAAAUUAGAGUUUCAACAACAACAAAAGCUGCAAAAAAUAAACACUCUUUCUCCCCACGUAUAUACCGUCACACAAAAACAAUGGAUAUAAUUAUGAACUUUGAGAAAAACUGAAACCAGAAUAAGAAUUAGGGAUUCAAACACUAUUAAAUCCUCUGAGAAUUCCUUCAAUUCAACAUGCAAUUUACAUGAAAUUGAAAAGGAAAAAACAUAAAAAUUCAUUGAAUGGGUCAAGAAUUUUUAGUUAUUAACCAAAAGAGUAAAACUUUUUUUUAAAGCUUGAAAGGAGUAAGAAAAAUCAAUUUGAUAGUACCCGUUAACAUUUCAAAAUAUAACUUUAAACUUUCAAAGUCUAACCAGCAAGCAUACUCAUGAACUUGUGAGUGCUUGCUGACUAUUAUGCUAUUACAAUUUCUGUUUAAUGCGAAAUAAUGCAGAGAAAAGGAUGAUUCGGCUCAAUUGCAUAAAUCUAGGAAGGGCAGUCGAAUGUAACUCAACCUGCUUUUUGUCGAAAUAGACCUGGGAUGCAGCAUAUACAAGCUUGAAGAUUUCUUGUUACCUUCCGUUGUCCUUUUCUUCAAAACCCAAGUAAUUUUCUUCCAGUCAGAAUCAUAUUUCUCCAGAACUCUAAGCUGUUCAGCAAUUUUGAUAAAAGAAAAUGAGGGACAAAGUAUGAACCAAAAGGAGGCCAGCAAUAGAUUUGAAGGCAGGUUCAGAAUUCCAAGGGAAAGGACCGGAAUAGCCUGUAAAAGGCAUUUUUGUCCAAAAAUUUUUUACGUUUUUCGUGGAUACAUUUUUCAAUUAUCUUUUUAUCUCAUAUAUAUCAAAUUAUUGUAAUAUAUUUUUUAACAAAACUUCAGAAAAUAACAAUCCAAAAAGCCUCUAAAAAUCCCGCUCAUCGAAUUUUCAGCUCUGACCACAAGCAUUUUUUUAUGUACAACGUAUGUACAUGGGGAAAACACCCAAAAAAAUUUAUGCCAACAAUCCAACUCCGUUUUAAAAUAAAAAUGGGAAAAAUGGUGGGCAAGUGUAAUAUGGUGAAAAAGAAUAGAUGUUACUCAACAAAAUCUGAUUGUUGUUGGCCUCCAAUAAAGACAGCAUGGCAAGCUCAAUAGAAGGUCAAAGAUUGUCACCGAAAACCUCAAAUCCAGAAAGGCCCCAAAAGCAAUAUUCAUCAUGUAACAUUGUAACUCUCUCAUUUAUAAGUUAACAAAUGAUAGCUUAUGCCAAAACAAAAAAUCUUAUGCAUUUUUUUUGAAGAGAAAAAAAAAAAUAAAAACCAGGACUAGAAUUUAGAAUUCAAACAUAAUUAAGAGUUUUAAUCAUUGCUUACAUUCAACAAGCAAUUUACAUGAAAGUGACAAGGCCAAAUGCCAUAAGAAAAAAAUUCAUUAAACGGAUAAAGAAUUUUUAGUUAUCAAGUGAUCUAAUAUGACUCAUUCUUUAAAAAAAACAAAACAAUUGUCGGGAAGUAGCCUUGAAGUCUCAAAAUAGGGCUUCAAAAUUUUCACAGUAUAACACAAUUGUGAGCCUAUGCUGGCAUUUUUGCGGGAUCUCUGAACACAAAUCAUGAGUUAGAACUAUUUUUCAUCAAUUUCUUCCGGUCUUAACUUAUAUCAGGUUAGCGCAAAAAAAAAAAAAAAAAAAAAAAGGGAUAAUUUCAGAAACCUCCCCUGAGGUUUUUGAUAAUUUCAUGUGUCUCCCUUAAGGUUUAAAAAAUUAUACCUACCUCCCUUACCCAUUUAAAAUGACAAUAUUAACCUUAAUAUUUUAAUAAAACUCUCUUGUUUCCAUGUUUAUACAAGGAUGGAUUUAAUAAUUUUUUUCCUUUUUCCUUCUUAUUCAUUUCUCUUAUAUUUCAUUAGAAGUAUAGAAGAACUAUCAAUGUUGUUGCUAAUAUCUAUCCAGAUCAAACGUUAAAUUAGUAAUUUUUUUGAUAACUUUUAAUAUUAUCCAAUUUUUUUAUAGCUCUUUUUUUGUAUGAAAAUCAAGAAUAAUUAAAAAAUAAAUGGCCCAAAACCACUAUCAAACUAUAGCAGUUCCAUCACUAAACUAGUCAAUAAACUUUUAUUUAAAAAAUAGUCCAUAAAUUUAAAAAACACAAGGUAACACUUUCUUCUCUGUCUUAAAAAGAAUUUAUAUUCCCAAUAAAGCACUAUAAAAAAUAGCUUAUCACAGCAAAAGAUUUAUUGUUAUAGUUGAUUAUUAAAUAACAAAUAUUGGCAUGAAAAACUUGAGACUUUUUUUUUUAAUUGUGUCAAAUUACUUUACAAUUGUUUAGAAGAAUGAAUUGAACUUUAUAAGAUAAGGGCAUUUUAGGGUAUUCAUUAAAAUUUUGACCUUCUUUUAAGGUUUGGUUGCUAAAGUGUCAAAUCAAGGGAGGUAAGUGUAAUUUUAAAAACUUCAAGGGAACUAAGUGACAUAGUCAGAAAUCUCAUGGAAGGUUUCUGAAAUUAUCCCUAAAAAAUAUAUAAAAAUAGCAUGACUAAUUAAAUUUGGUCUUGACUUUCAAAUAUAUUUAAGGGAUCCGCUCAUGCACCAUUUACUCUUUCUCCCAUUCCCAAACAAUUCACAUCUCCCUGAGCCCACCCCUCGUCGCCGCUGGUCAUAAGUCUGCAGGUAUUCAUCCUUUUCUACAUGGAAAUUUUUCUUAAGGAAAGAGGUUAAUCACAAAAAAGAAAUAUCCAGUCUGACAUUGGAUUGGAGCAAAUGUCUCAAUUUUAUUUAAAUGUUGCAGUUGAAUUUCUUGAUUUUUUGAGAUUCCACCUCGAUUGUACUUAGGUUGCCUGCAUGCCAUUCCCAUUUGGUAAGAUUAGAAUUGAGUUUUAGGAUUUUAUCUUGAUUGUUUAGGGGUUACAGACUUAUAUGACAAAAUCCUAAUUCACAUAAGUUGUGCAUGUAUUGGAUUUCGAUUGAAAUCCAAUUCCCACUGUUUGAAAUACAUUUCUGCGCAUGAUUUUUUCAUAGGAUCUAUUUAUCUUCAUCUGUUUGUGAUUGUUUCUGCACAUGAUUUCUUAUAGGAUCUAUUUAUCUUCAUCUGUUAUGUUGAUGUUUGUUAUGUUGAUCAUCGUGGCAGAGAAUCAUGGUUUUGCUAAAUUAAGACUCCUGUUUCAUUUCUUCAAACACAUUUUUUAAGCCAAGUUUUACUUGUUCAUUUUUUCCCUUCAUUUUUUCCCCUGUCAUCAUGCUGUAAUCUGUAACUGUACCUGUACUAGUAUAAAUCUUGGUGUUGUUUUGGGAGUUUCACCGCAGAAGAAUUGAAGAGGAGAAAUGGAGGGGUUUCUAAAGAUCCUUUGUCAGAGAAUAAAUAAUUUAUUUGUUUAUUUUUGUCGAGCCUUUGAAAAAUGCGGGAAAAAAGAUCGUUAGUUUAAACUUGCGGAUUUCCCAACUUUGCCCUUGCGGAACUAUUGGAAUAUGGUGCAAAACAAAGGGAAAAACGAGUAACUUCUUUUCUUUUCACGGGCAAAAUAACGAAAGGAACUUGAAUUUGUUCUCUAUCCUAAAGGACCUAAGCUCCCAAAUAGAUGAAUUUUGAUUAGAUGGGAAGGGGAAACGAACAAUUGACAAAACCAACAAAUGAACAAUGGUAUAGAUUGACAUCUAAUGACAUAGUUUUUCUAAUUUUUGAAUGAUCAUAAAUAAUUGUAAAAAAUCAGUUUACAUUCUUGAAAAAUGACUAGUGAUAAGGGCGCAACCGAUGUGUAUAAUAUAGGAACAAUCAUUUUUUAUAUGAAGGAAUUUAAUAUAAAAUUUUCAUAAAAAAAAGACUUUGAUCUUUUAAAAUUUUUUGAAUGGAAUUUUAAUUAAUUUGGUGGUUACAAUAUUUGUAAAUGGUUAUGGAUGAAAAUUUGUGUGAUUACAUUGGUUGGUAAUAUGAGUAAUAUGUAAUUAGAUGGUAAAGUUAUAAUUUAAUGAUUGUGAAAAGUUAAAAAUCUAAAGAGUGACAAAAAAAGUUUACAGCAAAUUCAAUGCUCUCCCUUUAUAUAUAAUAUAUAGUAUAGAUAGAUUUUCGAUGUUUACAUCAUUAUCCAAGUCAUGAUUGCGCCAUUCUACACUAUUAUUCCGAAUAGAUGUGGAUAAUUUUAUUUUUUAGAACAUUUUUCUCGCUUUGAUUUCAACUUUGCUUUUUUUUUUUUGAAGAAAAAAAAGUAUAUGUAAACUUGAAUUUUGAAGAUCUUAUCUAACGUUAUUCUUAGUAAUGCAGGAAGUGUUACUAUGGUUUCUUUUGAUAUUUGUCCAUCAUGGAACCAGGUAGUCUUUACGAAUUCACUAAGUUCUUUAAUCAGUACCGGUUCAUUACCCUUAGACACGGACUACUAAUGAACUCUCAUUAAUUUCAUUUUGUUGGUCAUUGACAGGGAACGAGGUGCAACCUAAGACAAGUCAGAAGGAUGCGAACCUUAAUCACUUCUCUCGGCUGUCUGAUUCAAUCAUUUAUCACAUCUAUUCGUUUUUACCCACCUGAGAUGUUGCCUGUACCUCCAUCCUGUCCAAAUCCUGGUAUCGUAUGUGAAGAUAUCAUGCUAUAAUUGGAUGGACAAAUUUCUCUCUGUCCCAAACUUACCUGAAUUGAAGCAUUUUGAGUGUUUGUUCUGCGAUAUGGUUGAUAUUAUUCAAAUCAAUGCAGCUAAGCUUCAUACUUUCUCAUUUGGGACAUUGAAAGAAGUCAAAGAACUUUGGCCAAUGACCAUUGACUGGACAGCCUGUGCUACAGCACUGGAGGAGUUGAAAAUAUAUGCGAAUGGUGCCGCUGACAUUGAUAUGUUAGAGACACCGAUAUCUCAGCUUCUCUUUCUUGAAACAUUGGAUAUACACGGCUGCAAAAGUUAUGCGGGUUUCAAGAUCUCAAACCAAACUCUUAAGAGAUUGAUCUUGGGAGAUUGCAGUCGCAUGUCAGCUACUCAACUUGAUGCUCCAAAGUUAGAGUUGCUUGAAUUCAACAACUGCGAUAAACCUUUUCUUCCUUGCAAUGCCUCGAAUAAACUUCAGAUUAACUUUAGUUUGUUCUUUAGAGGACAUUCAAUUGAGUGGCUUUUGCGAUUGAAGUAUUUUCUCGGGACGUUAAAGCAUUGGGAAGAUUUGAAACUGAUCGUCUAUCCUGAACAUCAGGUACUACACUUCUUUCUUAACCACUUAGCUAAGGUUUUAUGAAAUUUUUUUGUUGCUUUACUUGGUUUGAGAGUUAUAUGUGAUGCUAUUCGACAAUGGACGUAAAAAUCUUGAAAUUGUUUACUCCUCUUGCCACGCCCCGAGCCCGCACGUGCCAGUCACAUGACAUCCGCCGUAUCUUCAAGUCUCGUUCAAGAAUACAAGGCAAUAUCAUACUAUACUAAACUUUAAAAGUACUAAAUAAUAUAACUAGAUAAAGUGUGGUACAAAUCUCAUAUGAAUAAUAGUCUAUGAAUAUCCAAUAAGUUCGUAUAUUUAUUCUCUGGUUGAAACAGCGGAAACAAAAGUAAAUAAAACUAACAACUAGAAGUAGCUAGCUUGCUAACUUCUGUUCAUUUAGAAACUAAUAAAAGCCGUCAUCAGGGUUUUCUACGUAAAUCAACUCAUACUUUUCAGAAUCUACAAAGAUGAUAAAAUUGUCAUGCCCCGAGCCUGCACGUGCUAGUCACGUGACAUCUGUCGUAUCCUCAAAAUCUACAAAGAUGAUAAAAAGUGGGUUGAGCGACAAGUCGCUCAGUAAGUAAUAUCUACCCCUCUGUUGGACCAUGCAUUCAUAACUUUAUAGGUACAUAUAUAGAUAUAAAUCAAAUCAUUUGCACACCGUUCACAUCCAUAAUCAUAAAAGUAACGUUGUUUAUAAAACAAUCAGUAGUAACGAGUGACAAGCAAUUUAAAAGCAUCUUAUUGAUAACUAUAUAUGAAAAAUCAUAAAGUCAUAAUCAUUUCAUAUCAAUUCAUAAGUCUCUUCAUAUCAGUUCAUAAAUCAUUUCAUAUCAGCUCAUAACAAAUACAUGUAAUGAUCGGCUAGUGAGUACUUAGCCUAGGGAUUAAACCCCUUCUCGAUGGGCGACCAAUAGAUUUCAUGACUACCGAUUGGUCUCAUUACAUACAUGAUCAAUCGGCCGGACUUUAUAUCAGGCUACCAUGAUCUUGUCAAUCGACCGGACUCUAUACAGGCUACCAUGACUAUUAGACAGGACUAUAGCCCCUACCGUCUAUUCCGUAACUAUUUUGCGUUUUUCUUGACAUAAAUUUGUUUCACACGUCACAGCAUAGUUCUUGAUUUCAUAAAAGAUACAGCUUAUUUGGUAUAUAAUAACAUAUCAAGAAAUUUCAAAUAAGUCACAUGGUCCAUUUUUUUGGUAUAAUCAAAAUAGAACUUGCUUAAACAGUCAAGUAAAUCAUUUAAUAAAAAACAAUUCAGAUUAACACGUAAAAAUAUAAUCGAUGACAAAAAUUUCACUUUAAACUUUUGAAAUCUCAGAAGGGUAAGUACCGCCUACCUUUGUUUGGUUGCUCGAGUGGAACUACCUUAGGCCUUCUAAACUUGUGUCGUACAGGUCUAGGCGCUUAGUUAUCCGCUUGUUCGAUGACGACAUCUUCUCCUUCUCCUCUAUUCUUAGUCGAUUCUUGCUCUAAGGGAGGCAGACAAGGGAAAGGUAGGAAUGGUGUUAUUUUUCUCUCUAUUGUUUUGAUAAAAAUCCUAAACCCUAGCACUUCCCACUAGUAGGUUGUUUAGAUAAGAGUUUUAGUUUAUUAUGAACUCUUAUCCUGCCUCAUCUCCUUACUAAUCCUAAUUAUUCCUCUACCCUAUCCUACUAAUAAAUUUAUAUUAUUAUUAUUAUUUCACCCAUAGUAAUUUUGCCUUUUUAAUUAAUUGAGCAAAAUAAACUAAAAAAUGAGCAAGGACGUGGGUUUUUACAUUCUACCCCCCUUACAAAAAGUUUUGUUCUCGAAACUUACGUACCUUGAUAAAAAAGAUAGGGGUAUCUAUUCCGCAUGUACUUCUCCAACUCCCACGUUGCCUCUCGCAGUGUAUGAUUCGUCCAUUGCACCUUGACGUAGGGUAUGGUCCUUCUCCUUAGAAUUUGGUCCUUCCGGUCCACGAUUCUUAAAGGAACUUCCUCCACUGAUAAGUUCUCCCUCACCUCGAUGGGUUGAACCUCCAAAAUAUAGCUCGGGUCCGAUACAUACUUCCUCAGUUGGGAGAUAUGAAAAACAUUAUGUAUCCCUGACAAAGCAAGGUGGGAGAGCCAAUCGAUACGCUAGAGGUCCAACUCUAUCCAGUAUUUCGUAAGGCCCUACAUACCUCGGACUUAACUUGCCACUUCUUCCAAUUCUCAUCACUCCCUUGGUAGGGGAUAUUUUCAAAUAUAUCUUUUCUCCCGGUUGAAAUGCUAAAGGUCUCCUUUUAGAAUCCGCCCAAUUCUUGUUUCGGUCCUAAGCUACUUUUAAUUUUCCUCGAAUAAUCUUAAUUUUCUCCAAAGUUUUUUCUACCAAAUCGGGGACAGUGAUCAGCUUCUCACCUAUUUCAUCCCAAUAUAAGGGGGAUCUACACUUUCAUCCAUACAACGCUUCAAACGGUGCCAUACCUAUACCGUUAUAAUAGCUAUUAUUGUACGAGAACUCCAUUAGUUUCACCAACCUAUCCCAACUAUCCGAGAAGUCUAGAGCAUAAGCUCUGAGCAUGUCUUCUAGUGUUUGUAUGGUCCUUUCCGAUUGUCCAUCCGUUUGAGGGUGGAAGGCGGUACUUAAUCUCAGGUCAGUCCCCAUAAUUUUUUGAUAGGUCAACCAAAAUUUAGACGUGAAUUUAGGAUCUCGAUCAAACACUAUACUUACUGGAACACUAUGAAGACAUACGAUUUCCUUCAUAUACAUCUCUACCAACCUCUCCAUUGUUACCCCAUUCGACAUUGAUAAAAAGUGGGCAGAUUUGGUUAGCCGAUCGAUUAUAACCUAAACAAUAUCGUUAUUCCUAAUCGUUCGAGGCAAUUCUACCACAAAAUCCAUUGCUACAUGUUCCCACUUCCAUUGGGGAAUUUUCAGGGGUUGCAAUAAGCUUGCAGGUCUUUGAUGCUCGGCCUUUACUUGUUGGCAUACAAGAUACCUCGCUACAUAUUCCACUAUUUCUCGUUUCAUCCCAUUCCACUAAUAAUUUCUCUUCAAGUCUUGGCACAUUUUAGUCCCACCAAGGUGAAUUGAGAAUCUCGAAUUGUGUGCCUCCUUUAGCAAUUCCUGCUUCAAUCCUUCAUCCCUUGGCACACAUAAUCUACCAUCUUUCUACAAACUUCCAUCGUCUUUCAAUUCUCCACCGACGGGUUCCACUCUAAGUUUUUCCUUAAUCUUUGCAAACCCGUCAUUAGAAUAUUGUGAUUCUUUAAUCCUAUCUAUUAAAGUAGGUGCGACCACUAAGGCAACUAGCAUUUGAACCGUGGAGUCCACAAUUUUCACUUCAAAAUUCUCCAUUUGAUCCUUUCCCGUGGGUUCUCUUAAUACCCUUGACUUCCUACUGAGGGUGUCUGCUACCUUAUUUGCCUUGCCCGGAUGGUAAAUGAUUGUCAAAUCAUAAUUCUUAAUUAAUUCUAACCACUUUCUCUGCCUCAUAUUCAAUUCUCUUUGAGUAAAUAGAUAUUUAAAACUCUUGUGAUCGGUGAAAAUUUCACAUUACACACCAUAUAAGUAAUGCCUCCAUAUUUUCAACGCAAACACUAUUGCUGCCAAUUCCAAAUCACGCGUGGGAUAAUUUUGCUCGUACGAUUUUAGUUGGCGGGAAGCAUAAGCAAUUUCUCUCCCAUUUUGCAUCAAAAAGCAUCCUAAACCAUUUUUAGAGACAUUACUAUAAAUCACAAAUCCUUCCAUUCCAGAGGGUAGGGUAAGUACUGGGGUUGACACUAGUUUCUCCUUUAACCUCUGGAAACUCGUUUCACAUUUAUCUGUCUAUUUAAAUUUUGUUCUCUUUUGAGUCAACCUAGUAAGAGGCAUAGCAAUGGUAGAGAAUCCUUCUACAAAUUUUCAAUAAUAGCCGGUCAACCCUAAACUCCUUACUUUGGUUACAUUAGUAAGCCGUGACCAGUCUACAAUUUCUUCCACCUUCUUUGAAUCACGGACACCCCUUGAGCUGAUAUCACAUGUCUUAAGAAGGCCACAUUUUUCAACCAAAAUUCACAUUUACUAAAUUAAGCGUACAAUUUCACUCUUCUUAGUAUCUCUAGGACUUCCCUAAAGUGGGCAGCAUGAGUUUCUUCAUUUGGGGAGUACACUAAAAUGUCAUCAAUAAACACCACCAUAAAACAGUCUAGUUGCGGUUUGAAUACCCGAUUCAUCAUAUCCAUAAAGGCUGCCAGAGUAUUGGUUAAUCCAAAGGGCAUCACCAAAAACUCAUAGUGCCUGUAUCUCGUACGAAAUGCAUCUUUUUGGAUGUCUUUGGCUUUAAUCUUUAAUUGAUGGUAUCCAGAUCUCAAAUCUAUUUUAGAGAAUAUUUUAACUCCCUUCAAUUGGUCAAAAAAAUCAUCUAUCCUUGGAAGGGGGUAUUUGUUCUUUAUUGUGAUUCGAUUCAAUUCUCUAUAAUCGAUACACAACCUCAGGCUACCAUCCUUCUUCUUUACAAAGAAUACUGGUGCAUCCCAAGGGGAAACACUAGGUCUAAUGAAUUUCUUAUCUAGUAGUUCCUGUAAUUGCUCCUUAAGUUCCUUUAAUUCUGCGGGCAUCAUUCUAUAGGGGGCCUUAGAUAUAGGAGUCGUUUCAAGUAUAACAUUUAUUUCAAACUUUCUUUCUCUAUUCGAAGGUAGACCAGGAAGGCCUUCCGGGAAUACGUCAAAAAAGUCCUUCACCACCAAGCUCUUUUUUAAAGGUGUCUCCUCUUUCUCCGUAUCUACAACAUAAGCCAAAUAUGCCUCACACCUUUUUCUUAUUGCCCUAUACGUCUGCAUGACAGAUAGAAGAGGUAACUUACGAAUUUUCUUAUCACCAACAUUUCCUUGAUAAGAGAAAUCCUUCUCGUUCGGUUUCAUGAGUAACACCCUCUUUCUACAAUCAAUUUGUGCAAAAUGUUUAGCUAGCAAAUCCAUUCCUAGGAUAACAUCAAAAUCACUUAUAUUUAUUUGUACUAGGUCCACUUCUAAUCUCCUAUUCACACUAUAGUUUGGAUACCUAGUAUGAGACACUAGGAUUCUAUUUCCUGGAGCAGCCACUCGGUAAGGGUGAUCCGUCCAUUCAGGAGACAUGCAUAAGUACUUUGUAAAAGAGUGACUAGCUUCACAAUCAAAUAGCACGUAUGCAGGCACAGAAUUAAUUAGAAGAGUACAGUGACCUCGUUGCUUGCCACUUCCGCCUCAACAUCGGUCAUGGCAUGCUCCCUCGUGUUAACUUUUGAUUUUUUAUCAGUGAGAUUGCCACUCUUAUCUCCUUCUACCUUUUUAUUUGGAUAAUUCAUAGCCCUAUGCCCUUGCUGUCCACAUUCAAAACAAACUCCUAUUCCAACUCGGCAUUCCCCUCAGUAUAUCUUCCCACAAGUUUUACACGUGGGGAAAGUUGUCUUAAGCCGGCAUUCUUCCCGAUGCAUCUUUCCACAAGUUUUGCACACAGGAAAGGUGUUUCCUCCAGUUAUUUUUAGUGGUGGUCCACAACUUUUCUUAAUUAAGCGGAACCGUCCACCAGGUUUUAGUGCUCCCACCACUGCAAGUUCAUUCCCUAGUCUAGGCCUUUUAUUCCUACCAUUUUCAUCUAAUCUUUUGCAAUUAGUCUCAACUUUAACGCUGGCGUCCAACACAUCAUUAAACGUAGGGAUGUAAGAGGUGUUCACCCUAAUUUGAAUUCUACUCGACAACCCCCUUAUAAACUUAUACUUUUUCAACUCCCCAUCUGCCAUUAUUGUUGGGACAAACCUUCCUAAUACCGUGAAUUUAUUCGAAUACUGCACCACAGACAUUCCUGGAGUUUUUUUUAAAUUUUCAAACAGAUCUAUCUUCUGCAUCCUUACAGUCGGUGGGAAAAAGUAUUUGAGGAACUCCUCUAUAAAUUUUGUCCAACUUACUGAUGGGGUGAUGGUAGGUUUCAGAGUUGCCCACCACUUAUUGGCUUCUUCUACCAAAAAGGGUUUGAUGAUUAGGUGUUUCAUCUCUUUCGACACUUGCAAUAGUGCAACGUUAUUUUCUAUUUCAUCUAACCAUUUUUUUGCCAAAUCUGAGUCAAGAGUUCCAUCAAAGGUAGGGACAUGGACCCUUUUCAUUUUCUCAUAAUAUGAUUGAGUUCCCCCUUGUCCAUGAUUUUGGGUUUGAACAGCUAGAAUCUGUGCUAAUUGUGUCUGGGUUUAUAAUGUUUGGACUACCUCGGUUAGUGCGGUCACUAAUUCUGCGGGUAACAUUAUGUAGGAUUGAUGCCCACUUGAUCCAGUCUCUUGGUAACCUAUAUUCUAAUUAUUAUUUCCUUGAUAUGGUUCUUGGUUAUGAUUACCGUGGUCGUUCUCACCAUUAGGGCUGCCAUUGUGAUUUUCGCCACGUCUAGUGUUUGGUGCCAUUUCCUAAAUCAAAUAGAUAAGUUCCACAUUAAAGUAAGUAUUCUAUUCUUACUUAUUAUAUAUAUAUAUAUCAAUAUAUAUUUUUAAAACGACACAACUAAAGUUAUCUACUUGUAUAUUUUAUGUAUACGACCCCAAAAAAUAAAAUAGGUGAAUAAAUAAAUAAAUAAAUAAAAUUUAAAAUAGAGAUUUUAUUCACUAACUUAAGAUGAAAAGAAUGGUUGACUUCUUAUACAUCGAAAUCAAUAUCCUAACUUAUUCUAGAAAUAUCUAACGAAUCUAGUGUCUAAACCGUCUAAUUAUAAUCUACGAUUGGAUAGAAAAACUAAUCAAUGCGAACAAUCACUCACCAACCUACUAAUGUUCUUGAAAUAAUAUCCCCUAACACUAAUAAAAUAAAUGAAUCAUUAAAUAGAAUCUCUCUUAGACCAACUCUACUGCUCAUCCGCUAGUGGGUCUGCAUCCACAACUGCUCCGUCUCUUACACCCCUCUCAGCACCGUCCUGGUCCUCAACUCCAUUUUUCUCCUGAUGAUUUUCUACGGGCAUCUUCUCAGGAUCCUCGUCGGGAUCGUCAUCUAGUUCCACAUCACUAUCAGGCCACAGGUGAUUCCACCCAGGCAUUGGGGUGCAAGUGGUUGGUGGCCAUCUAUCUAGUUCAUCACGCACUGCCUCCUCUCUUCAUAUUUCAUCGCUAAAGCUUGGUACUCCGCAUCUCGAUUCUGAAGUAAGGAAGUUACUUCUUCAAAUCCUUCAUUAUACAUAUCAGCUAGUCCCUUCUGUACUUCCAUUUCCGCUUUCAACUUAUUGACCUCCUCUCGUAGACGGAGCACCUCCCCAUGCAAACCUUCCAUGUUCUAUCUCAUGUGUUCCCUCGACACUAUUAACAUCGAGAUCUCGUGCGUUUGGUCAGCUAUUCGAUCAGCCAAUGUAUGAGCCUUCCUAGCUCCGUCCAUGGCUCUCUCUAACUCCUCAAGGUAUCUGUCCCUAUAGAAUCUUUGUCUCUUCCUAAGACGGGCCACAUCGCAUCCCGUCACAUGAACUGGACAGUCGCAAUCCUGAUGCUUACCAUGUACCGGUUCGGCUAUCUCCUACAAUGCCAGAUAGAACACUAUUAGUCCUGAUUUUUUCCUCUCUAAGGUACACAGAUCUUUUCAAGCUUAAUUUACUAAUUACUACCAUUCGUUUCUUAAACUGUUCUAUCUUAUGGUGUUAUUUCGAACUUAGGCUUUGAUACCACUAAAAAUGUCACGCCCCGAGGCUGCACGUGCCAGUCACGUGACAUCCACCAUAUCCUCAAGUCUUGCUCAAGAAUACAAGGCAACAUCACACUAUACUAAACUUUAAAAGUACUAAAUAAUAAAACUAGAUAAAAUACGGUACAAAUCUCAUAUGAAUGAUAGUCUACGAAUAUCCAAUAAAUUCGUACAUUUAGUCUCUAGUUGAAAAGGUGGAAACAAAAACAAAUAAAAUUAACAACUAGAAGUAGCUAGCUUGGUAACUUCUGUUCACUUAGAAACUAAUAAAAGUCAUCUUUAGGGUCUUCUAUGUAAAUCAACUCAUACUCUUCAAAAUCUGCAAAGAUGAUAAAAAGUGGGUUGAGCGACAAGUAGCUCAGUAUGUAAUAUCUACCCCUCUAUUGGACCUUGCAUUCAUAACUUUAUAGGUACAUAUAUCGAUAUUAAUGAAUCACAUCCAUAAUCAUGAAAGUAACGUUGUUUAUAAAGCAAUUAGUAGUAACAAGUGACAAGCAAUUUAAAAGCAUCUUAUUGAUAACUAUAUAUGAAAAAUUAUAAGUCUCUUCAUAUCAAUUCAUAAAUCAUUUCAUAAUCAGCUCAUAACAAGUACAUGUAAUGACCAGCUACUGAGUACUCAGCCUAGGGAUUAAACACUUUUUUAGGUGGGCGACCAAUAGAUUUCAUGACUAUCGAUUGGUCUCAUUACAUACAUGGUCAAUCAGCCGGACUUUAUACCAGACUACCAUGACCUUGUCAAUCGGCCGAACUCUAUACAGGCUACCAUGACCAUUAGACAAGACUAUAGCCCCUACCGUCUAUUCCGUGAUUGUUUUGAGUUUUUCUUGACAUAAAUUCAUUUCACAUGUCACGCGCAUAGUUCUUGAUUUCAUAAAAAAUACAGCUCAUUUGGAAUAUAAUAACAUAUCAAGAAGUUUCAAAUAAGUCGCAUGAUCCAUUUUUUUGUAUAGUCAAAAUAGAACUUGCUUAAAAAGUUAAGUAAAUCAUUUAAUAAAAAACAAUUCAGAUUAACACGUAAAAAUAUAAUCGAUGACAAAAAUUUUACUUUAAACUUUUGAAAUCUCAGAAGGGUAAGUAUCACCUACCUUUGUCUGGCUGCUCGAGUGGAACUACCUCAGGCCUUCUAAACUUGUGUCGUACAGGUCUAGGCACUUAGUUAUCUGCUUGUUCAAUGAUGAUGUCUUCUCCUUCUCCUCUAUUCUUAGUCGAUUCUUGCUCUAAGGGAGGCGGACACGGGAAAGAUAGGAAUGGUGUUAUUUUUCUCUCUAUUGUUUUGAUAAAAAUCCUAAACCCUAGCACUUCCUACUAGUAGGUGGUUUAGAUAAGAGUUUUAGUUUAUUAUGAACUCUUAUCCUGCCUCAUCUCCUUACUAACCCUAAUUACUCCUCUACCCUAUCCUACUAAUAAAUUUAUAUUAUUAUUUUUUUUCCACCCAUAGCAAUUUUUUUAUUUAAUUGAGCAAAAUAAGCUAAAAAAAUGAGCAAGGACGCUGGUUUUUACACCCCUCUCUUUUCUCUAUUCUCUAUGCAUGCAUUUCUGAGUUUCAAUUCUUUUGCAGAUGAAGAUUACGGAUGAGCUACCAGUCGAGGUUUGGUGUUCUAUCCAUCAUCUAGUUCAUUAAAUAUUCUUUUGAAUCUAUAAUCUCCCCUUUAUUUUUUCUUUUCAAACUAUACUUCCUAAUGGAAUUAUUCUUGUGCAGGACAUGGCUAUUCAUGACAGACUGAGUAAGGUAAGCUGUUCUUACCUAUUAAUAUAUAAAUUUAGUGAUACCCUCUUUAUCGAUGUAUUCAAACUACAAUCGUAUGGACGUAUGAUUUGUAGCAUGCAAAUUAAAUAACUUUUGUGCACAUUAAAAAUAUUGUUUGAUUGCAUAGCAUAUUUACGCAGAUUAACUCGACCAAUGUACUAACCUUCCUUUGCUGAUCAUUUUCUUACCUAUAUAUGUCAGUUUGUACUAGAAAGGGCCAGGGAACUUAGCAGUAGUCUGGGCAAAGACCAGAGGCUAAUUAGUUGCGAGAUGGAUACCUCUAAAGCAGUUGACUGUCCACUGGAUCUAGGCGCAGAAAUCUUUAAUGUGAAACGCUCAAGUCCUGGCAGUAAGGCUUCUAAAAUAACAUUCAUGUGGAAGUAUGACGCGUCCCAACAGAGGUUUAUACUGUAGUCCAAAUACC
rnacentral:lncRNA from 1 species